rnacentral:lncRNA from 1 species
UUUUUUUUUUUUUUGUAUUUAUUAGGAAAGAAAAUCACGACCUUUUCUAGAUAUAUUCGUCAUACUUACUUAGAAAACUAAUAUGAUGGAUUCAAGGAGAAAUAGAUGGCAUUACAUCAAUUAAUAAUAUUCAGAGACACGAAGUCCAUUACAAUACGGACAAUAUCCAACGACCCUAAAUAGCAGGCUCUAUUGACAAUUUUACAUUGGUUCCUGCAAGCCAUGGAAAUCAUCACGCAAUAGCUAGCCCAUCUUAUUUAUUCAUGUUCAAGGAUGUAAAUCAUCCGAUGAAAAAGAUGCCUUUCCCCUUGCCCUUGUUCUUGUCCUUGCCUGAAGCGACUUCACUUUCUUUUACUGCUUUGGCCCUGUUAGCCUGCUUAAUCUUAUUAGCCCUUUGAAGCAUCAGGGCCAGCUCCUGAAUUGCUUCUAAUUCCAAGUCUUUUAUGGCGCUCGAGUAGCGGCAUUCUUCGCUGCAAAACCAUGCAUCGCCCCUACAAAUUAUGUUAAACAGGCAUUAAAUACUCAAAUCCCUUUUUUGGUGUUGUGUUUUUUUUGGGGGGGAGUGGUUGUUGGGGGUUCUAUAUAUUUGGUCUUUGAUAUACACCUGUACAAGUAGACAUUACUCUUGGGCACAAGUACUUUGCAGCAUUCCAUGCAAUACCUUAAGAAGUUCACCUGAAGUUUUGCAUUUUUGGUCCAGGACGCAUUUGGAUUAGCUUUCAGUGGUGGAGGUGGUGGAGGAGGAGGAGGAGGAGGAGGAACACAACUAAAGUCCUCCAUAGCCUUUCGGUCUUUGCUCGGCGGCUUGAAAACAAUCAACGUAGUAUGAAUUGGUGGAAAUUUAAGGAUGCAGUCAUUAAACCAGUGAGUUACUUUAUGGACUGGAAUUUUAACUUCCAGUCGACUAUAGCAUUCUGAAUCCUGGAUGUCUUUUAGCCUUAGCACACCUGCAGAUUUAUGAACAGUGCAAAAUGUUAGUGGGCGAAAACAUGCAUUGCCCUCAGGGUUUAUGAUAGCAUGGCCUUUUAUUUCAGAACCAGGCGCAGAUUCUGGUCUGGAAAACAGAUCAUAAUCGGAAAAGACACUUUGUGGCGGUGCUGAUGACUGUUCCCAGCUUCUGAGUGCAAACACACAAGGGGAUUCAUGACGAAAUUUUAAGCCUUGUCUGGUACCAAACUGGAUUGGGCCCUGACCUUUUUUGGAUGUAGGGUUUUUCAAGGGUUUAUCAUCAGGAUUUGAUGCUUCAGGGAUUUCAUCACCACUUUUCUCAGAAGUUGUUUUCGUUUCGAUGGGUAAGGAAACACCUGACGGUCUCUUAUAAUGUUGAAGCCGGUAGCUGAGAAUAAUAUGCUUGUUCUGGAAUGGUCGGACCUCCUUGUCAGCUAGUAAACUCAGGAAGCCUGGUUUUCCCAUCUUCUUAUUUCCUAGUGCAGCUUUCUGCUUCUGAAAUGGAAUUUUUGGUGGAUGAUCAGAAGACUUCAGAGCAGAUGGAGGUGUACCAGAGGAAAAUCUGUUGCCUGAAUCACUGGCCAAGGAGGCCAGAGACUCCAGUGAGCUUCCAGAACCAAUUGAGCAAAUUUCUGACAGAUCAGAAGAUGAGCUCCUCCGAAUCAUCUGGUUCUGCAGCAUAGCAGCUGCUUUAGUAGAAAUAUGCUGCUUUUGGUUCUUCCGGAAGUUUUGAACUCUUGAAUAAUUCAUGUCUGCACGGAAACCUUUGGUUCUUGAAAGAUGGCUGCCUGCAUGAGAUUAAUCGGAAAGAAUUGGGAGAAUUGAUAAACAACCGUGAGUAAAGAGACAAAAUGGCAAAAUAGGAAAAAGGAUCUCCAUUCCUUAAUCUAAAAAUUAACAGGAUACAUCAAAUCAAAGUUUAAGGGAAGAACAGAAGAAGUUUAUGAGCAAUACCGAUUUCCAAAGCUGAAAUUAAACAAGUAGAUGGAGGAAAGAACACAUCUUUCUAUGAGGGGAAAAGGGAGAAAAUGAAGAUCAAUCUAAAAAAAUACCCAAAGACAACAUGCAUGCGUGUGAAUGAAUCCAGAAAAUUCAGGUGAAUCAAAAGGGCAUGAAACAUUUGGGGUUUUCUCCAGAUAAAUGAAUGUAUAAAUAGAGCUCCUGGAUAGUCCCCUUAAAGCUUCGUGGAUGUGAUUCAUUCCACAAGAGCUUAUGCAGUUAUAGAUUUAGAAUGCAGGAAAUGAUAAGAAAUUGGUAAAUAUAUAUACAACUUGCACACUGCCAAAUUUCACUCUCUCUCCUUCUUACCUCUCUUCAAACUAACAAGCCCUUACCUUGCUGCUGGCUGGUAUACUUAAAUUUGCAUGCCCCAAAUUAAUUGCAGUGCCAAUUAAUCAAAGCUCAUCAUUGAGUAGUGCAAAGCUCCCGAGAGAUGUAGGCCAAUUUAUAGCAGAACCACCGUCAAGAUGAUGAUCUAUGCUCCCCUUCCACGCGUCACAUGUCUUAACACGUAUCCCCCCUUGAUAUUGUCUUCAUGCAUCGGUAAUAAUUGGAAUUGUUUCCUGUGGGGGCAGCAUUGCUUGCUUGGAUUAGACCCUAAUCCGCAUCUUAAACCUCUGAUCCUCCCACUCCAGCCGAGGAUCACAUGAUCGGUGUGUUUGCACAUGCAUGUAAUAUGGCAAUAACGUUAAAAAGAAUGGGACCUUGCAAGCUUGAACAGCGCUUUUUUCCUGGGCGGGCUGCUUAAGGCCAAAAUAACUGACUCAGAAGCCGGGGAUGGAUUUCUGCAACCGGCCACAAAACGUUUCCCUUGUUUUGUUCUUUUCCUUGCCACGGUAACAAUUUCAGUAUCUCGCCAUUAAUGCAGGUUAAAGCUGAGCACUGACUUAUUUGGUACGAGGAAUGAAAUGGACAUGGAUUUCUUCGUACCCCGCAAAUUAAAGAUUUUCUGCCACAAUUAUUUCCUUGUAUUCCACAAGGAUUUUCCGCCGUCUGUGCCGGUUACAAGGAGUAUUGUAUUCCUGUCUUCAUUUCUUCCAACAUAAACUAACUAAUAAUUGUCAGAAAACAUAAGCAUGUUGUGGAUGGAGACUUCAUAUGUUUUUAAGUAGUUUAAGCCAGAUUUAACUAUUGUCCAAGAUAAUAAUGCAAAUCCAACUUCAUUAAUGCAUCCUUGAUGAAAAUUAAGUUCAACUUAAUUAGUAGAUUGCAAUUUGCCUUGGAGAAAUCCUUGAUGAAAAUUAAUUCUUCAGGCUGUGAUAUUGUUGACUAAAAUUAUCUACUUAAUAAUGAAAAGCCAAUGACGCCUCCUCGUCUAAUCAUAGAACAUUAAUUAAGCCUGAUAUCCAUGAAUUUGAGAUCUUGGAUUCAAAUCUCGCAAAAAAUAAGUUUAUUCUAACUGCAUGUGUGUAUUGUUCAUUUCAGUUGUAAUCUUAUGGAGUAAAACUUACUUAAAAUAAAACAACCACCAAAUUAAAUAGGUCAAUGGUUCAAGAGAUCGAUGUUAACUCUCUAUUUUGCGCAUUCAAGCAUUAUGGUUAUACAACUGCCAGCAACACCAAAUACUAGGUUUCAUAAUAAGGAACGUUAUCUUUUGUUCAACAUGGUUUCUUAACGAGAUAAAGCCUUGUUUGAAUUACUGUUUUCCGUCAAAAAAUUAUAUUGUUUUUCGUGAUCACAUUUCCCUAUUACCUUUUUCCCUCACAUACAUGAAAUCGCUGCAGUAAUUUUUCCAUGAAAAAUCAUGGAAAAUGUAAUCCAAACACAAUUGAAAAUCCAAUAAAUGCAAUCCAAAGUUGGUUUAAGCGAAGAAAUCCAAUAAAUGGCCAUAGCACUUCUGUUAAUUUACUACUACGUCUUUGCUUACUUGUUUAAGGCUUUCUGAGACGCUAAAAACUCCAGUAGCCCAACCACUGUUAAUUGGCACCUAAAACAGUAGUAUUAAAGAUACACUAUUCAACACUGGAGAUUAAACUUAUGCAUAAAGGAGUUUUAGCGUCUUAUGCAGAUUUUUUAACCUUCUGAUUUCUGAAUGUCAUCACCAAAGUGUCGAAUGAAUAAUACUUUGAGUGCCAAAAAAUAACUAUUAUAUAAUUUUAUGUAACGUAUUAUCCCAAAAAAAAAGUUCACAAAUAAGUACAUGGAAGAAUUUGCUAUGACAAAUAAGACCCAUUCAAUUGCAAUAUACCUAAAAAGUAAUUAUAUUCAAUAUUUUGUUAAGUUCAUGGAAAAUCAAUUAUUCUUGUGAGAUGCAUUGGUAAUUAAGUCAACGAUGUAAUCCUUUUUUAAUCAACAAUUAUUUCUAUCGAAUGUCAACAAGUAUAAUUAUGCGGUCGAAAAGCGACAUUUUAAUUAUCUUUAUCGCUGGAUAGAAAUUAAAUUGUCCUACACUUUUAACUACUAAUGGUAUAAUUUUGAGCCUUUUAAAUUAGACUUUUUUUUACCAACUAAUAUGUACUUGUAUCAUAUCUAUAUCGGCUAAUUUUGUCAUUAUCAUUUUCAAAAUUAACAAAUGGUAUGAUAAUCUAAAGAUUCUAUUAAUUUGAUUUUUUGCAUUAUUUACAUCAUACCUAUUCUUAAUUGCUAAGAAAAAUUAACUAUAUCAACAUUUUUAACAUGUUUUACUAACCAAUUCUUCCAGUUAUGAAUUUUCUAAAGUUGGUUUACAUAAUUUUCAAUAAAAUUUCUCAUAUAGCUUGAAAUUCAAUGUGCUUUAUGAUACUUAUUGCAAUGCUUAUUUGACAUACAAUUUAAAAGUGCCAAUAUUAUAAUUGAUAUGACUCAUAUAUAAAAUAAUUACGCAACUCUAGUCAUUCAAAAUUGCAAAGAAAUUAAUGUUAUACUUCAAGGUUCUCCAAAUCUUAUAUGUUAAAUAUGUCACACUCAAUGGCGGAGUUAGGACCCAAGGUUGGGGGGGUAAUUGCUACAAUUAAGGCAAAAUUUUUUGUUGAAAAUUUUUAAUAACCAAUAUGAUCCUUGUGUGAAUUUUGAAAAAAUUAUAUAGUGUUUUACAACAACAACAACUAGAUAAAAAAAUUUAGAAUUUUUAUGGGGGUACAAUUAUAAUACAAAAUUGAAAAUUAAAAUUUUGUCAAGCUAACUUUAAAAAUUCUUCAAAGUUGAGGGGGGAAGGGGAUAAUUACCCACCCUUACUUGAACGUGGCGGGUCACUCGCAAGUAGUGAAGAAUUUAAGGGAGAAAAAAAAAAUACACUCAAAUGCGUUUUCUCUAUUAUUGAGAAAUGACUUAUGGUCAAAAGGAAAGGGAAAGCGUAUGGUUAUGUUGAUGCCAUUUUUCACCUGAUUUGUACUCUUUCUAAGCGGAAUAAACUUCAAUGCUUCUUAUUUUUACUUCUCAAUACGAGAAUGGUCGACCCGGCUCGGUUUAACCAAGCCGAGCCCCCCUUUUCUGCCCAUAAAUUUUGAUAAUGGUCAUCUCGGUUCGGUCGUGCCAGGUUGAUUCCUUCGUCUCGUAGGGGACCCCUAUCGGUUCUGGUCACCUCGGCUACACUCCGUUGAUGGAGAACCGAGGUGACUCCUACGUCUACUGUUGUCCCAGAGUAGCACUGUGACUGACGUGACAACAGAGGUCUAGUCAAAGGCCCUGACACUUGUAAGACAGACAAUACAUCUGAUGAGACCUAUCCCCUGCACAAAACUAUCAAAUCAGGUGGAUAUUCUCAGUCCCCAUCAGAUCCUAGGAACUUGAAUCCCACUAUCUUUCCCUCCAAAUUGUCUCAUAUAAAUAUCAAAUCCUCCCACUCAAAAGGGACCAACUAAAUAUUCCGUAAGAAUCACUCCCAAUAGCUCCUUCCAUUUUGAUUCCUAUCCGAACUAACUAGACCAUCGGAGGGGAACCUUUACAGCCCCUCCUCUGAUAAUUUGAGCAGGCGAUUUCUAUAAAGCCGUGCCCCACUACAGGAGAAUACCCUAGCCGCUCAGCACAGCUCAUUAAACCAAAAUUCACCUCUUCACAAUACAUAUAAAUUUAAGAGAGAUCAUCAAUUAUUUGGCAGAAAAUGGGAAUCUAACUUCAAAAUCAAAACUUUUAGAUUUUAGUAGGGUUCAUUUGUUUGGUGCUCUAAAGGCGCACCAUAAGAAGUGAGUUUCAUGUUGCUACCUUUUUUGCUUGAGGGUGAAUUUCUUAUAUAGUAAAUUCCAAGCAUAAAUAGUAAAUUUAUCUUUCUUUUUUAAAAUUUGCUUAUCAUAUGCCUUUGGCCACUAGGUAGGAAAAACCUUAAAAGUAUACUGAUUCAAUUCGGAAACAAUAGUUCUAGUUUAGCUUUUAAUUGUCUCCUACAGACAAAAAAAAAAUCACUAUUUUGGAGUAAGGAUUCAAAUUAUAGUGAAAAUUACACAUUAAGUGGAGCUUUCAAUUAAGGCAAAUAAUUAUAAAUAUGAAUGCUAUUGCAAAUUAGUAAUGGUAGUGGUUACACUCUCACUCCUGCUUUUUUACUAACUAUUUGAUAAUGUAACUACUAAAUGGGCCCAAAUGUUGUACAAUCAAAAGGAAAACGUACUUCUUUUAUAGUAAAAAAAAUAUCCUAAUUGUUCCUCAAAAGAAAAUUUUUACACAUUUAAAAUCCAGCUACUUAGCAAAAAUUGCUCAUGAACCUGAGUUGGUAAACUGGAGCUUUUAUCUUGCCACCAUUGAAAAGAAUUAAUUUUCUAUAUACUAAUAAUAUAUAAACUUUCAUCAUUGAAUGUAUAAUAUAUAAUUUAAAUUUAAAUUUAAAAUUCAAAUUUUAUAAAUAUAUAUUAUGCAUCCAACUGUAAUAGUAUAUACAGCGUCACUCUAUAAGAUUUAUUACUCUUCUGAAAAUUCAAUUUUGUCUCCAAUUAGCACUUACGCAACUCAACAGGGAACCCCAAGCACGUGGGCAUUAUUUGGGCCGUCUCUUCCUUCUUUCGUUAGCCGUGGCCCACUUCACGUGGACCCAAGGUAGUUUGGACAUUGGAUCACUGCAACCUGAGAGAAACAAAACGCAUCCGGCGCAUUUUAGCAGCUUCUACUUUAUAUCCGAUAUCGAUUUCCUUCCAUGGUCAGAUGCGCACUCUUGGUACUUUCUCUCAUCUUUCUUGCAUCUCCAUCUAUCCCCCUCCAAACCCUUAAAUUCCUCAUCAAAAACAAGAAAAUUUAGGCAACCCCAUGUGAAAUUUGCAUCGCUGGCUGCUGCCUAAAAGCCUCAGGAUCACAAAAGUUUUCUUGAGAAAAAAAAUAAAAUUUUUUUUGGUAGAAUUUUUCAUCAAGGCUUUCAGUCAUGUAGUGUCUGUUGGUCUUCGGUGCUUGGUUCUGCCGAAAGUUUGAAACUUUAAGGUAUUUCUGGCUUAACUUUGUCUUAUUUGAGAUAAGGCUCUCAUGUUUCCUGUUUUUUUUUUCCUUUUUUUAUUGUAAUUUAUUCUGGUUGGAAAAAAGACAAAUUUAAUUUAUUGUUUGUUUUCAGAGCAGAUUUUGAGAUUUUAUGAUAUUUUUCUCUUGAAUUUCAUUGUGGAUUUUUUUCCCUUUUAAUUGCAAUAUGAUCUUUGUUGGGCUAAAUUUAGAAAUUUGAACUUUUAAUUAGUUGGGAGGGAUGAUUGUUGGAUUUGAGGGUAAAAAUUUCCAUUUUUUCCCACAAUAAGUAGUAGUAGAAUUAAAUGUUGGUAAUCGUUGGUGGUACGUUCUAGGACAUUUAGUUGCAGAUCAUUUCUGCUAUUGUGAUAUCAAUGAUAUAUAAUAGGAAACUUGAACUUUUGCCUUUUCAUUUUAGGAGUAUAAUCUUGUCAAGUUAAGGUGGGAAUCAGGAUUGCUUGGUAAAGUCUUUAUUGGUUCCUUGAUCCCGUGUGUGCUAAAAUGGAUGACACUGAGGAUGAUGCUAGAUACCCACCAAAUACUUAUGGUAUGAGUCAGGGUUAUGGCUCGUCUAAUCGCCAAAAGCUUCCUGUUCGAAAUGCUGGUCAGAAUGUGAUUAAUCGAUAUGUUGAGGAUGACGAUGUUGAUGAUGAAGAGGAAGAGGUUGAGGAUGAAGAAGAAGAUGAUGACAAUGAAGAAAAUGGGGUUCAACGAGUAGAGAGAGAUGAAUUUGAUGAUGACAAUGAGGAUGAUGACGAUGAUGAUUAUGGUGAUAUGCAGAGGCACCCCAAGAAGAGGAAGCUUAAGAGCUUGUUGUCGAGUUAUGAGUUUGCACCUCGAGUCCCAGCAACAUCAGCAGCACCUGUUCCUGUGCCGAAGCCAUCAUUUGGAGGCCGAAACGCAGUUGCUGAUUGGAGUGAGCAUGAAACAUUCAUUUUACUGGAUGCUUGGGGUGACAAGUUUCUCCAGCAUGGGAGGAAGAGUCUUCGGUCCGAGGAGUGGCAAGAAGUUGCAGAGAAGGUUUCCCAGCAGUCGAAAAUUGAUAGGACAGACACUCAAUGCCGAAACCGUUUGGAUACACUGAAGAAGAAGUACAAAAAGGAGAAGGCAAAAUUGGGAGAGACUGUGAAUUUUGUGAGUAAAUGGGUCUAUUUUCAGAAAAUGGAUAUGUUGCUGUCAUCGCCUCCUCAGCAAGCUGGCCUUUCAUGUGGAGUGGACUCGGGGGAGUAUGUUUUCAUGAACCCUGGGGAGUAUCUCAACCGUUCAAAUGGACUGGACGAGAUGAGGGAUAGCCCAGGAAUUUCUGAGUCAGCAGAGGCUGAGGAGGAUGAUUCUGAGGGCCUGCCACCCAAGAGAACGAAGACUGUGAGGGACAGAGGGAAUGGAGCUUCCUUUAAGUUACUUGCAGAUUCCAUUGAGAAAUUUAGUGAGAUAUAUGAAAAGAUUGAAAACAGUAAGAGGCAGCAGAUACUGGAACUCGAGAAGAUGAGAAUGGACUUCCAUAGAGAAUUGGAAUUACAAAAGAGGCAGAUCCUGGAGAGAGCUCAGGCAGAGAUUGCUAAAAUUCGACAAGGUGAUGAUGAAGACAAUGAUGUGUCUGCUGAGAAUAUCAGUAGGUGAACUAUGUAGCUGAGAUGUUCUUGAGAUACAUCGCUUCAUGAUUGCCUGAUUGCCUGGCUUUGUUGUACAAUUUCAACGGCACCAUGCCCGCUUGUUCAUUUCUUUGCUAGGCAAUAAAUUGGUUGGUCGAUUACUGUAUUUUAGAUGUUAAAGAGGUUGGUAGAAAUAAAAUUCAAAGAUCAUCUUCAAUUCUGUGUUCAUCCUCCCACUGUUAUGGUACUUAUUCUGCUUCUAGCUGAUUUCAUUAGUUGUGUGUCAAAUGUUUCUUGUUCAAGAUAGACGGGAGCAGUAACAUGACCAGGGUUCAGGGUUUUGGUUGAACCACCCUUAUGGGGACUGUUCCGGUUGUGGCCACAACUGGGCUCGCGGUAGAGUUGCCCUUAUGGUUAUAAAAUCAUCAAUAUUAGAAAAAUUAGACACUGAAAUUAGAAUAAGGUUCUAAGAAAGGCAAUGAAUGUAGACGAAACAUAUCAAAGUCUCGCAUUAUUGAUUUUUAUUACAUUUUUUUUAGAAAAAAAAAAAACAUACAUAAUUUUCUUGAACAUAAAUUUUUGAACCUGAUGUCCUUUAUACUUGAUAAUGAAUUCAACAAAAUCAUAAAAGGAAAACCUGGUUAAUGUGUAAUGCUUGUCAUGGUUCGAAUAGGAACAGAACUGGUGACAUUUGUUCCGGUUUCAUAUUUUCAAGAACUUAAACAAAAGUGUUGUCACGGAAUAGCCUGACAAAAAUAUAGCAUCUAGGCAGGGCUUGACAGGGAGAUCGUCAGCCAUAUUGCCAACUAAUAUGAUGGAUGGAGUAUCUGGCAAACAGAAUGUCGGUAAACAGCAGCAAGAAGAUGUCAUUUAAAAACGUUACCACCAAAGCAUCCAGGAUCCAAAGUACAGAUUAUGGACAAAUAUUUCAUCAGCAUUAAUUUCUAUAAAAAAACAAAUCACAAGAGCUUAGCAGACAAAGAUUAUGGACAAAGGAUCAUCCAAGUAUGUCGUCCAAGAUCCUAGCAACAGAUUCCAUAGUCCAGCCACCAGCAGAUAAAGAGAAAGCCGGGAUAAUCACUUGCAGACUCAUCUGCAACUCUAAACCAUUGACGAGUUGCCAGUUGGCACAAGCAGUGUAAACAAAAAUUUCACCUUCAGGCUUCAUGCCAGUUGCUGCCUGAGCACGUCUAGCAGACACUUGGGUAAGAAAUUUGAGAAGCAAUUAAUUGUAUCUGUACAGUAACAUGUCCAAGCAAGGCUGAUUGACCAUACCAUAAAAAAAGUUGGCAUUUCUCAUCCAUGGAAGCCCUUAACAGUAUCGUAAUUCCCAUAGAUCACUUUAUUAUAUGUCGAACUUACCUCCCAAGCAUGCAUGGUCUUGCCAUGUAAGAUCUUACGAGGAGGUGCAACACACUGCAGAGAUUGACUCCAUGCACUGGCACCUGAUAGAGUUCUGCAAGCCGAAUUUUCAAAUGAAAACAGAAAAUGCCACAUCACGUCCUCUAAAAACGGGGCAAUAGCAAUUCCAUAUCUCAUGAUUAACAUAAAAUGGUGAACAUAAAGUAAGUACCUGCAACUAGCCAUAUAACAUUUAUUGCACAUGAAAAGUUCCACAAAAUUCUGUAACACGACUUUUCGCAUCACUUAGUAAGCAAAAGCAUAUAUUUCCUAAAAGCAUGAUUGAUGAGUGAGAAAUACACCACUCAAUUACCUAAAGAGAAGUAUAUACCAGAUCAUUCUAAAAAGUGGAAUGAACGCGAUCUUCAUCGAUCUUUCCGACUGCUUCAAGUAUUGAAGAGUAUGUUAUAUGAUCAUAUUCAAAGCCUUUCACUUGCAUCUCCUUCAUCAACCUAGCAGCCUCCUCAAACAUACCAGCACGGCUUAGAGAACCAAGAAUGGUAUUGUAGGAGACUGCAUCCGGCUUUAUCUUUGAACUUUUCAUCCUUGUGAACAUCUCGAUUGCUCUUUCUGGGCCACCAGUCUUUGCCAAGCCAUUCAGGAUUAUAUUGUAGGAAUUUAUGUCUGGAUUGCAACCAUUUUCCUCCAUUGUUUGAAGCAAGGAAAGAGUUUCAUCUAGCAUGCCAGCCUUUACCAUCCCUGACAUGAGGGCAUUAUAAGAAUACACAUCAGGACUGCACCCAACUUUAUUCAUCUCAUUGAAAAGAUCCAUUGCCUCAGCCAAAUGUCCACAUUUGCCAAAGUGCUUGAUCAUCACAGCAUAUACUCUCGAACUCAAGGAUCCAGAAUUCUCCUUUAGUUCUUGGAACAACUCAUUCGCAGCUUCAUACCGUUUUGCUUUUCCAAGACUGUUGAUCAGGCUGCAGUAGGCGGCUGGACAUGGAGGAAAACCUUUCUCAUCCAUCUCCUCUAGCAGCAACAGAGCUUUCUCCACUCUAUUUGUCUUGCAAAAUCCAUCAAUGAGAAUUGAAUAAGUAAAGGAGCUAGGAGCCACUCCACUCGCCUUCAUUUGCUCGAACCAUGAUGAAAUUUCAGAUACCGGGGCUUUAGAUUGAAACAAUGAUUUAAGAAUAGUAUUAUAUGUCACCACAUUUGGUGUACACUUCAAAGAUCCCAUUUUUUCAAAUACGCUCAAAGCAUCAGCCAAGCGUCCUACCUUGCCAAGCAAAUUUAUGACAUUGUUUAUGAGCACAACGUCUAGUUCACAGCUUUCCUUUAACACAUUAAGAAAUACAGAGUAAGCUUCUUCAACCCUACCAGCUCUACCAAGCCCCUUUAUUAACUCAGUGUAUGUAUAAACAGUUGGCGCACAACCAGUCUCCUUCAUCUCCUGGACUAAUCUUAAGGCCUUUUCAACUUUUCCCAAUUUGAAAUAAGUCCCCAGUACAGUCGUAUAUAUCUUUGAAUUGGGAUGUAAACCAUUCUCCCUCAUUUCAUCAAACAACCUAAUAGCAGAAUCAUCACGACCUAAUUUACUAAAUGCUGAUAUCAGCGCGCUGUAUGUUACAGUAUCAGGCAAACAGUUGCCUUCAUCACACAUCUCACUGUAAAGUUCAUAAACUUUCUCAUGGUGCCCUUGUUGCAUAAGCAUCAUGAUCAUAGAAUUAUAAGUGCUUGCAGUAGGAUUGCACUUGCGAGCUUUAACCUGGUAAAAGACAGUAAGGGCUUUGUUGACCAUCUUAGCUCUGCCCAAAGUUCUCACUAUUUCAGACAGAUCAACAGGGCUGAUUACACAAGGACCUCGAACCAUUUCUUGUAUGGUCUUCCACAUUUCGCCAACCCUGCCAGCUUCCUCAAGACAAUGAAUGAGAGCAAGGUAAGUGGUGGAGUCAUGCUCAAAAUUCCUUCUCUUGCCAACCCACUUGAAAAACUGCAUCUUAACAUUGAUCUCCACGUCAAUGUUCAGUACCUCACGAACUAAUCGAUGAUCCACUCUAAGCUGUAGCACCUCAAGAGCCUUUUCUGCAUCAGAACCCCAUUUGAAUAUUUUCAAAAUCCUUAUAAACCUUUCAUCCAAUGUCCUCUUAGACCUGCUCUUUCUAAUGGCUGGUCGGCUCACGGCAAAAUUUGGCGCUUCAUCUUUAGGAGUUGCAAGCUGAAACAUCCUUACAAUAUCAUAUUCUGCGAGAACACCAAGUAGCAUUACGUGUCACGACUUUGUAAAAUUGGAUUGAAUAGAAACCAGAAAUCAAACAAUUAGACAACCCACGUCAAAAAUAUGGGACAGAAGCAGAAUCAAGAUAUUUAAGCAUAUAAAAACCAGGAUACUGAAAAUGCACUCCACCUGUUUGCUUAAAUCUCUGUCUGAGAGAAGGGUAUGUAGAUAUAGCCCGUCUUGAGCAAAAGGGUGAGGCUGCUGCCAUUUUCGCUGAACCCCUAAGAGCCAAGGCAAUUACUGUUACGUUACUGUACUACUGUCAAUCCAUUUGCUCCCCAGUUCCUGUGCCAUACUGCCAUGGACUUUGGUGGAGUAUCAAAGCUGGGUUGAAACGGCAAGUUCCCACAUCAUAAUUACAGUAAAAUGAAAGUAUACUAUGACUUGCCAACGCAAAAUUGCUAGUGCCUAGUACUACAUAUGAUUUCGGUCUCAAGAGCCAAGACUAUCGAAGCUAAGAAGCCCACUCUACAACCGUCAUCCAGGAAACGGGGAAGGAGGAGUUUGUUCCUCGCACCAGGGAAAAGACAGCAACACAUUUCUCUUGGGUGAAGUCGUGAAGAGAUACCCUCACAUAAAAAGAUUUUUAGUAAGCGUCAACAUAUUCACCGUCAUACAAAGAAUUUGGAUUGGUUUUGGGGUAUGGAUCCUGAACUGGAAAUGGUCACCUACAUCCAAUACUUAAAUAGUUCAAAUGCAAUUCAUAUCUUAUUCACAGCCAAGAAGAAGACUUCGGCCAGUGCAUUCAGUCCAAUGCACGAGAAUCGGUUCUUCAAGCAGUAUCCUUGCAAUAUUCAUAAAAUAGAUAUUGGCAUUUUCGUAUAAUUAACUCAAACGUUCAUUCCGUCCCUUUUCUUUUGUAGCCGCUAGACAGGCUCGUUAAAAGUACUUCCUUUAUUUUAGAACCUUAAAUUAAUUUUCGGGUAAGUUUUUAGAACCUUAAAAAUUAACAAGUACUUGUAACAGCAUUGAAUUACAGGCACAGCACAUAGUUCUGUAGCUCCGAGUUGCAGCUCCAGUUAAAGGCAUUCGACUGCUGCCCCCUAAAACCCAGCAUCGGAGCAUACGAAACUCAAAUUCUGAGCAACGUCGGGGAAAAGUUAGAGACGCUGUGCUUCCUGCACACGAGCAAAGACGAUACUGCAAAUCUCUGCUUCGACAGCAAUACGUUUAAAAGAAAAACCGAUUUUCGGUGCGGCAGCAUCCGCGAACAAGUUUGAUGCUCCCGUAUGUGAUCUUUUCAAGAGCACAAGAGAAUUCGGUCAAAAUUGCCAUAGAUGGCACCUCGCAAGCUCACGGAAACAAUCUUCAAUGCCCAAUAACAACAAAACAACAUGCACUUCUCGAGAAAAAGGGUUCCCCAAGUCACUUUUGUAAAUCGUAAUAAUUGUGAAACAAACCGAAAAUUUUUUGAGCUUCUCUUACAAACCCUGCCCAAUAAAGGGAUUACAGAGACUGGAGGCACCCCCUAAUAAUGAUAAUAUGUGGUGUCAUACCGUCCGUCUCAAGGAUGGCACAACAUAAUUCGAAUCACCUCACCCGUAAAACUAAUUAAACACUUGAUCGUAACCACAAAAGACCCGUCAAAAAGCUCAGCAUGUAUACGUCAAAAGGUACAAAAGGGACCAAGCUUUAGCCAGCACAAAAUAUUUAAAGACCAGUGUCCCCAAGAUUAUGCAGCCCCAGGUGCUGUAUCAGACUUGUCUGUUUCCAUUGGCUCCGUAGAUUCUGGUGGUACUUCAUUACCAGCUCCAGCACCAUCAUUGGCAUGGCUAUUUUGGCCGGAGUGUGGAUUGGGACUCUCACCACCCUGAGGUUGCGCCUGAGUUCCUUGGGAUGGUGGUGGUGUUGUUGCAGUUUCAGGAGCUGGCUUGGCUGGCUUUGGUUUUGUCAUUAUAGGCCUGCAAGACCUGCAAAUUCCUCAACAUAUGUCAGCACAAGAUAACGAAGUACACACAAAACAAGGCAGAAGUGCAUGUCGAGAAGUAAAUCACAGGAUGCACUUCUCAGUAUCUAGAGCACUGCCAAGUGAUAAAAUAAUCAGUAACCCAUGCUCCACAGGAUCAAAUUCACAAAUAAAGAGAAUAUCUUAAAAACACAAAUCCUGGAAAUCAAUAUGCAGUGAGAAUUGCAUGUGAUACCCAGGAAAAGAAAGGACAAGGAAAAGACUACUCCAAAGGAUCAGUGUCUGAUGGCUAAUACUGAUGAACGACAACAGUGCACCAGAAAACAAGCGCUUGUUCUCUAAAAUUGAUACCUGUCUAGUGCUUCAGCUUUCCUUCUGAUAUCAGCUGACAGGAGAACAGGAUUAGCAUACUUGGGAAGCGCAUCCUGCUGUUGCUUUUUCUCUCUCAACCAAGCCUCUGCUUCCACACAUUCAUUUAAGACCUAAAAGCACACAAGCAAGAAUGAACUUAGAAAAUAAAAACCCAACAAUUGUGAGGGAGACACCGAUUUACAUGAUGAUAAAUACCCACCUUCUGCUUUUCUGGAAUAUCGAUGUGAUCAAACUUAGGAUCAUUUGACAUUGCUGCUUCUCUAUAACUACCGAUGCAAUAAAUAAGUUGAUCAAUCACAGAGCCUCUCUCCAUAAAUUCCUUGUAACGCUCCUCAAUUGGGUCACCUUGCUGCAAGGUAAAACAUGUCAUCGGACUAACAUCAACUACAAUGCCAAGAAAGACAUAACAAGUGAUCGGAUAAAGCUUUGCCAACCUUCUUGAGUUCCUCAAGCUUUGCUAUAUAAACACCUUUUGUUUCAUCUUCCCCAUCUUCAUACAACCAAUCUUCUGUCUCCUGAAGUUUAGCAGCAAACUGCCCUCUCUCCGGGUCCAUGACAAACUCGUGAUAUCUGUCGUUGAGCUAGAGAAACAAACAAAAUUAUGAGUUCAAAACCUCUUAUGUAACAAAACCAACUCAUACAACUGUUACACUACCUUGUUCCUCAUGUCAUAAACAUAGGCCUCAACAGCAUUCUUCUUGUCCUUUGUUUCUUCCAUAACACGAUCUUGCAAAGCCAUUUCAAACUCCUUUUCCACGGCUUUCUGCACAUCUGCAGCCGCCAGUCCUCCAUACACCAGUUCUGAGACAGGUAUAUUGGUCUUCUUCACCUUUUUCUUAGGAGCUUCAGCCUGCAGGAUGUAAUUAACAGCAACUGAUGUCAGAUAAAAAUUUCAGUGUGGAAGAUAUAGGAAAGAACAGCUAGAAAUCUUAAAUGUCAUUUGAGAACAAAUCACUAUCUGCUUACACGUGGGGCAAAAAAAAACUUACCUUUGAAUCUGUCUCCAUUUGGACAGGUUUAUCCCCGGAGUCUGGAACGCCAUUUUCAGCUCCAGGAGCUUCAGCCGCACCUUUAGUAUCUUGCAUAUUUACAUCAGUUUCGGUGGAACUAGGUGGAGCAGCAUCAGAUGGAACCUCAUCUGUUUCCAUCUUAGCUGUUUCUUUUGCAGGCUCUUUAGUAACAGGAACUUCCACUUCCUCCUCUUCUAAAAGCUGGAAAAAAAAUUCAGAGGCAAAAAUAUUUAUUUUUACCAUUAUCCCUGCAACAAGCCGAAGUAGAAGAUAAAUAAGGACAAAAAAGCUUGCUCUGAGAGCUUACAGUUGCUGACUCAACAGAAACAAUUCCAUGCAAAUUCAAGCGUACUUUGACCUUCAAUUUUGCUCGCUCUCCCUUUGUUGCUUGGAAUGGUCCAAUCUGUGAGGUAAACACCAUACAAUGUACAGAAUUCAAUUCCUACUCAUGCUCCUUAAAAAAAUUGAACAGUGUGUAUCACAAAUCAAUUACCGUGUAAGUGCUAAUCUUUGCUGGUGCCUGCAACUCACUAACAUCAGCAUAAUGAACAUCUACUGUGAAAGUGCCAGAUCUAUAGAACGUCAAAGCCUUCACACUAGGUAUUGGAUUCCCCUUGGGGAAAACAAUGGUGCUUUGUUGAUUAUCUGCAGCUCCGUUCUGGGCAUCUGGGGCAGAACCUUUCCAAGACAAGGCAAUUGCGAAAGGAAAGCUCUCGUUCACCUAUAAGCCACAAGGAUAAAGCUGUCACAGUCUUAAUAUUGCAACUCUUUACCAACAUAAAAUCUACACAUUACAAGUCAUGACAAGUUAUUAGAUGUUACAGCUCAGGGGUUUCAUUAAGUCUUGACCAAAGAUACUCUAUGUCCAAUUAUAUCGAAGAACAUGUACCUCGAGAAAAAAAGUUGGGAGAAAGGGAUAAAUUAAUUUAACUAUUCCACCAAGCAAACUAUAAAAGGUCUGUCACGUUGAAACAAUAAAAGGCCGGCAAAAUCAACUAAAGAUGUAACGGCUAUACCUGGAAUUCUCGCACUUUAAAUGUUGGACUAAGUAUGGCACAUUGCAGGGCUGCGCCUUUGGCAACACACUCACUCGCAUUCAUUGUACGCCUAGGCUCCUUUCCAAAGAAAUCUGUCAAGAUCUUAAUCAUUGCAGGGACUCGAGAGCCUGAACCAACUACCUCGACCGCAUGAAUGCUCUCAACUCCUAGCCCAGCUUCUGCAAGAGCCAUCUCCAAUGGCUUCUUCACACGUUCCAAAAUUGGAAUACUUAUUUGUUCAAACUCCUCUCUCUUGAUGAAACCCCUGACAUCCUUCUCGUCCAUCAGGCACUCAAUAUUCAAAGGUGCCUCUGGAUUUGCACUUAGCAUCUUUUUCAACUUCUCACAAGCAGCACGAAGCCGAAGGCAUGCCCUAGCAUUCUGGAAGACAUCAAUCUUGUACUCAUCCUUGAAUUUUGCAGCAAAAUGCUGGAAGAGGACUUCAUCAAAGUCCCGGCCACCAAGACAUCUGUCAAAUGAGUGGGCCAAUAUCUUUAACUGGCCUUUUUUGAAGCCAGCAAUGCACACCUGCAUACUUGCAUGCCCAAUGUCAACAAAAGCAACAUUCAACUGGUCGUUCUCAGGUAAGUCCGUCUUGUAAAUACCAUAAGCCAAAGCAGUAGCAGUAGUCUCAUGGAUAAGGCGAAGUGGAUGCAAACCAGCAAUAGUAGCAGCAUCCACCACAGCUCUUCUCUGGAGGUCAGUAAAAUAGACAGGUAUCCCAAUACAGCAAUCAACAACUGCCGCAUUCAAGUUCUUCUGAGCUAUGCUUUUCAGAUCAGAAAAGACCAUUCCCAAUACUUGAGUGGGUGUAAAUGUCCUCAAUUCGCCCAAAUACCUUGCAUGGAUGAGAGGAAAUCCAUCAGGACCUUCAGUUACAGUAAAGGGCAAAGCCUUAAGAUCACGUUGCAGUUCAGGAUCAGAAAAUGGGCGUCCAAUCAACCGUUUCAUUUGGGAAAUUGUGUUCUUGGGAUUCAUCAUACUCGACGCAGCCCCUGCUGUCCCAAGGAAGCGCUGCUUAUCUCCAAAGCACACAACAGCAGGGGUUUCGCGCUUCGAUUCAUCAUUCAAAACAACAUCAAUCCCUCUUUGUCUUGCAACUGCAACAACACCACUCUCGUUGCCAAAAUCAAACCCAACCACGCUCAUCCUUGAUGGUAGUAUAAGUUCGCCACAAGCAAAAACUCAGCUUCAAACAAAGGUAGAUUGAACCCUGAAGAAAUAAAAACACAAUAUUAAGAUCUAAUCCCUUCUCUGCAUCUAAAAAUAUCUUAAUCAUCACAACAUGUAAACAAUGUCGAGACUAAAAACCAUAUAACGAACAGAGAGACUGCACAGGCAGUUAACAUUAUGAUCAGAAUUUAAAAACAGUAUCCACAGUACUUGGCGAUCCCAAAAGACUCCAGUCUUUUCUUCUCCAAUAUUUUGACGAUCGAUCUUCUCAUUUUGUGUUACAAGAACAAGUAAAUUCAAACCAAUAGUAUGCACCACUAGACUAGUAAUUAAACACAACUCCAAAUCUCAUAUUCCAUUGGCUAUAUACCUCUCCCUUGCCUACUUUUACUUUUGCUUUGGGUUUUUGCCUUUUGGGUACCCUAUAGUAGAAUUUACACCCUAAUACCCAACAGAAUAUGCCGUCCGACACAAGCCACAACAACACAAACAGCACUAGUCACCAGAUUUGCGUAUCCUACGAGCCUAUACCACGAAAUUACCACUACCACACACUCAAAACAUAUUAUUCACAAAUUCAAUGCAACAUAAACCAACACAACCGCACAAAAAAUGGAUAAAAUCAACGAAAUUUCGACGUGAGUUUAACAUAAAUCUCCGAUUCAUAAACUGCACUACCUGCCGUAACAAAAUUACUCUUAAAAAUUGUUGAAUCAGCUUAGCAAACUAAUCCUCAAAACAACCGAUUCAACAGCCAAAAAUAUGGAAAUAAAAAGCAAUUCAAGACAAAUGCAACAGAUCUGACAUAUAUUUCGAUGGAUAAAACGUUUGGGCCAGGUAUUCGUAGGCUAUAGACCUUUAUUAGUACGAUGUACUAAGCUGUCGCGACGAUCGAAUGGACCGCGGCGCAGGAGAACAAUGAAGUGGCUUCUAGAAUUCUCUUCCGAAGAGUUAGGCGCCCUCUCGCUAUAAACAACAAAUAAAUAGAGAAAAAUGCAAUAAAGGAAAGAACAAAACGGAUUGGCUGAGAUGUGUCUAACUAUCUAUAUAUGAAUGGGGGUUUUUAAAGGGAGACGAUUCUGGGGUUUGUGUGGAGAUUUCGAGCUUAUAUGUAUUAGAACAACAAUAAGGAAUUGGGUUUUUUUUCCCCCUUUACCCCUCAACCUUUUUGUUGUGUGUUUUUCGGGAGCUGGUCAGCGGUCCAGAUUAGUCUAGGCCUCCUGCUCUUCUUCUAGAAACAUCUUUCACUGUAGGGAUUGAUCUCACUUGUAAAUUCCUCUUUUUCUCGACUGUGAAGUACGCCGGGCCUAACCAAUCAUGUGUCCGCGUCCAACUAACUGAAAAUAGCAAGGCAGCCCAACCUCCGGCCCUUUUUGGAUGUUGAGUUUUUUUGGCUGUUUAUAUAAAAUUUUACUAUAACUUAUUGUAAAAAUUGUAAAAAAAAUAUUUGUGGAGAAAGGUUUUUUUGGAAGAAAUUAAAAUAUUUAAAUUUUUUCCCUUUUAUUUUUUCUUUCCUCUUUUCUCCUUCCUUCUUGUUAUCGUCAUUACUCUAGUCGCCAACGCCGUCGUCAGUUCCUCUCUCUCUCUCUCUCUCUUUUUUCCCUCCUCAACAUCCCUCCUCUCCUUUACACUAGAUCUGGUCGGAUCGCAUGACCAGAUGGAAGGGGAGGGUAAGGGAGAGGGAGUGACUGGGGAAGGAGAAAGAUAAGAGGCAAGAGAAGAUAAAUAGGAGGAAGAGAAGAGAGAGAGAGAGAAAAAAGAGGAAUAGGAAAAAGUGGGGAAGGAAGAGAGAAAGGGAAAAAACUAGAGCAGCACCUAUCGGCAGCGAUAGUGAUGACGGUGGAUUGAAUUGGGGAAAUAAAGAAUAAGAAGAAAAUAAGGAAGAAAAAAUUUUUUUUUUUGUGUUUUUAGAUAGUUUGAGGUGUGUGAUAACGACAGUCGUGGUGGUGGGUUGGGUAAAAGAAGAAGAAGAAGAAAAUUUUUUUAAAAAAAAUUACAUGUUUUUGAGUAUUUUAAGGUACGUAUUUAAAAAUUUUGGUAUUUUAAUUCGUUAAAAAUCUUGUAAAAAAUAUACGUUGGGUAAGGAAUAAUUUUGGUAGUUGGAAAGGAGGGAGUAUCUGUGAGAAAUCUUGAAUUUGAAUCUUUCUACUUACACUAACAUUUUGAAAAAAAAUUGCCAAAAAAUUGACCAUUCAAGACAAUUUUGCCACUUUUGGCAAUAAAAGAACAAGGGGGUGUUAUUCUAUUACUAAUAAUUAAUUUUGAUAGCAUCCAAUUUGUAACUAUUUGUAUUAUCUCGCGCAAUAAUUAGGGCUUUAAUUAUGAUAGUGUUUGAUUCGUGACUAUUUGUAUCAGCUCACACGGUAAUCAGUGCUUUAGAGAAAGCUCCGACCUUUAGCACGAGGAAAUCCUUUUUUUGAAAUGUAUGGCUUUCUCUUUGAUUAGAGAAAGAAGACUUAAUAGGAUUAAUAGGAUUAACUCAUCAUAUGAGUUAUAAGCAUUAUUUGGAUUCUUUAUUUUUUGAAAUACAAUUUUUUUAUUUACAAUUCUACAGUAAUAGAGAAACAAAAGCAACUUUAAAAAUGGAAGAGAGGGAGUAUAAGUGAGAAAUAUUGAAUUCGAGUCUUUCUACUUACACUAAAACAUUGAAGAAAAAAAUUGCCAAAAAAUUGACCAUUCAAGACAAAAUUUGUCACUUUUGACAAUAAAAUAACAAAAGGGUGUUAUUCUAUUCAUAAUAAUUAAUUUUGAUAGCAUCCAAUUUGUAACUAUUUGUAUUAUCUCGUGCAGUAGCCUUAAUUUUGAUAGUGUUUGAUUCAUAACUAUUUGUAUUAGCUCACAUGGUAAUAAAGUGCUUUAGAGAAAGCUCCGACCUUUAGCACAAGGAAAUCCUUUUUUUGAAAUGUAUGGCUUUCUCUUUAAUUAUAGGUUGUAAAACCAUUGUCAAAAGAGGACUUGAUAGGAUUAACUCAUCAUAGGAGUCAUAAGCACUAUUUGGAUUCUUCAUUUUUUGAAAUACAAGUUUUUUAUUUACAGUGCUACAGUAUAUAUAGAAACAAAAAAAUUUUUAAAAUAUCACAUCCAUACAAUAUAUCAAAAAUAAUUCCAAAUAUACAAAAAAAAAAAAUCUACACCAUUUUCUUCUUCCAUCUACCACCAACAUCGACUGCUGCCGCCGCAGCUAUCAUCUCCUUUCUCCUCCUUCCUCUCAUUUUCUCUAUAUUCUUACUCCCUCUUUCUCUUCCCUCUCUUUCCUCCUCCCCUCCAUUUCUCUCCCAUUUUCCGUCACACCUACCUUCCCUCCCUCUCUCAAUUCCUUUCCCCCAGAUCUGGUUGCAACCAGAGGCCUUGAUUUGGUCAAGACCAAAUCGAGGAAACGGAUGGAGAGGGGAAAGGCAGGACGUGGUGGAAAAGAGGAUGAGGAUGAUGAAGAAUGAGAAAGAGGAAGAAAGAAAGGGAGGGGGAGGGGGGAAGAGAGAGGGAGUGGUGUUGGUGGGUGGUAAUUUUAAUUUUUUAAAAAUACUCUAAAAAUUUUUAAACUAUAUAAAUACUCCAAAAUACAUCUCAAAAACACCUUCAAAAGUAUCACAAAAAACAUUUAUAGUAAAAGUUUUUUAUAUACAUUGUUAUAUAAAAUAUUUCAAAAAUAUCCCUAGAAACAAUUAUUCCAAACGGAAUAUAAUUGGGUUUCAAAAUCCUUCUUUCUUGCUCUCCCAAAAAAAAAAAAAAAAAACUAAGACCUUUGUCUUGUGGAUUUUUUUCCUCACGCUGCUAUACUACCUUUAUUACUAUUUUUGUUAUUUUAAAAUUAGGUUUACCUUGAUCACAAGUUGAUCCCAUGACAAGAAGUAUAAAACAAUUUCGUUUGGUUGGAGUUGCAAACGAAUCGAAUUGCUCGUGAACAGUUCGAGUCAAAACUUGACUCGAACUCGAGUUAGUCAAAUCGAACUUGAACUCGAUUUCAAGUUCAAAAUAUUAAGUUCAUUAACUCGCAAGCUCGAGUAAAUAUAUAUAUUUUUUAUUUUAACAGUGAAGUUAUAUAUAUAUUCAUAAUAUUUUAUUAUUAUUAACAAAAAAAUAUUAUUUUAUUUUUUAAAUAAAAAUAAUUUAUUUUUUCCUAUUUUUUCCAGCUUGAACUCAAGUUCGACUCAACUAAAAUUUGAGUAGAGCUCGAAUUGAACUUGACAAAAGAAAAUCGAGACUCAGCUCAAUUAAUAUAAAAUUCGACUCGACACGACUCGACUCGUUUACAACCCUACGUUGGAUGCACUAGUGAUUUCUUUCUCACCUGAAGCACUUAUACUUCCAUGUUGUUUAAAAAGGAAAAACGUCCAUGUUGUUGUCCUAGAUCGCAAUUACGUAUAUCGAAAAGAGGAAGUGUACUCAUCUAUUUCCUCUCACAGGUUAGGAAAUAAACUCAGUAAAGCACCAGCGAGAAACGGCUUGCUUGCAAUAAACUCAUAAGCUACUGGGUUUCCAACACUUUGCGCUAUGCGGCUCUCACGUGUGGAUGCAUACACGUAUGACAUUUAAAAUUUUUUUUUGUUUCGGUAAGAAAAUUGAAGAAUUCCUUUAUUCAGUUCUUAAAAUGGCAAUUAGGUUUUUAAUAGAUUAAAUGCGUAAUAAAUCUAUCACAUGAUUUGCAACUAAAGAAAUAAAAUAACAGCUGACUAGUUUAGAAAAUGCUGAAAUACUGUCGUGUGCCCUAUGAUUUAAUUCGAUUAAAAUUCAAGGAUAUUUAAAAUUGAACUUAAUGCCUUCAUGAAGUUAUACAUAAAGAACAAAACGACAAAUACUGUGAUGAAUUGAAAAAAAAAAAAAGGAAACUUCGAGAUACUUAUAUGGGAGACAAACUUUGAUUUGUCAAGAGUCGGAGCAAGAGCAUCACCAGGAUAAUUUCCACGCCCGCUUUGUUGGAUUCUUAGGCUAACUUGACUUGCCUGGGCAUGGAUGCUGGGGAAUAUAUCUAAUAGGAGUAGUUAGCCUUUUUUUUCUUCUUCUUUUUAAUGCUUUAUUUUUUUUUGCUUUCCACUCCUUCCUAUAUCUUUUAUAGGCUUGUCAACGGGUCGGGUCCGGAUCGGAAUUCAUUAUUCCAGACCCGGAUCCGAUACAUCAUAUCGGAUCUGAGCCCUACCCGUUUACCCGUCGAGCCUUUACUAUAUGUUUCGGAUCCGGAUCCGGAUCCGGGUCUACCCAAAAAAACUAACAAAAUUUAUAAUUUCUAACAAAAAAUGAGAAAAAAACAUAUAUUUAUAAACUAAUUUCUAAGUAAUACAAAAAAAAUCAAAUAAGAAAAGAAAUCAAAUUAACUUUACUCAAAUACAUCACCCUAAUCAAAUUAUAUUGAUUAGGAUCCGGGUCCAAUUAUAUUGAUUACUCAAAUACAUCAUCCUAAUCAAAUUAUAUUAAUAAAUAUAUAUAUAUUAAAUUAUUAAUCCAUUUAUAUCCUGAUCCGGAUCCAAUACGGGUCGGAAUACUAUAUUUCCGCAUCCGACCCGUUUUUUGUUUGGCAAAACGGAUCCAAAUCCGGAUCCGAAUAACGGAAUUAAAUCCCUUCCCAUAUCUGAAUAAAUUUGACGGAUCCGAUCUGGGUUCGAGUCUAGACCUGGACCGUUGACAGCCCUAAUCUUUUCUAUCUCUAACUGUCUAGAUUCAAAAUUCAAAUUGUGAACUUGGCAGUGGGAAGAAUUUUGAUGAUACCUAAAGAGUUGGGCCAUAGGAAAAUAGGCCCAAAAGGCACGUAUAAUCCAAACGAUCUGGUUUUCAAUUUGCGUUUUUUGUUUGGCAAAACGGAUCCGAAUCCGGAUCCGAAUAACGGAAUUAAAUCCCUUCCCAUAUCCGAAUAAAUUUGACUGAUCCAAUCUGGGUUCGAGUCUAGACCUGGACCGUUGACAGCCCUAAUCUUUUCUAUCUCUGACUGUCUAGAUUCAAAAUUCAAAUUGUGAACUUGGCAGUGGGAAGAAUUUUGAUGAUACCUAAAGAGUUGGGCCAUAGGAAAAUAGGCCCAAAAGGCACGUAUAAUCCAAACGAUCUGGUUUUCAAUUUGCGUUUGAUCUGUUAACAGUAAAGCUUAACAUCUUCGUGGGCUUGUUGAAACCCAACCCAGAGCGUCACAACAGCCUGCAAGAAUGGCGGGAAAUUCUCAGUGUAGAAAUUGUUUCCUAGGGUUUAUUAUCAUCCUCUCUGAAAAAUUCUUCUGAUCAGAGAUUAAUCCAUGCAAGGAGAAGAUGCCAACAUACAACUUAAGAGGGAUCAAUGUGGACUUUCCAUACGAGGCAUACGAUUGCCAGCUCGUUUACAUGGAAAAAGUCAUUCAAGCUCUUCAAACUGUACGCUCGUUCUUCAUGAUUUUAUUCAUGUUUUUAUUGAAUUUUAUUAUGAAAAAUUUUGCAAUUAUUCAUAACAUGUUGUGCUAAAUAACUGCAUUCAUCGUGUAGUAGCUGUUGACAAUUUUCAUUUUCAUUUCCAAAAUCUGGACAGCUGGUUUACUUUUAAAUUUUUUUAAAAAAUUCUUUUUCGUUAUGGAAUUUUGGAUUCUUUUUGUUGAAUUUUCAUUUUCUAAUAUUUUAGCUCGGGAGGGGUGGGAAGGGAUAUGGGAAUGGGAAUGGUGAUGGUGAGAACCGAAUACUUAUUCUAAGUCGAGGGGGGAAACAAAAUCCUUAAAGCUGGUUCAUCUUCUAUUAUAAUUAAAACAGAUAGUCAUUUACGUAAAAUUUGCACGACCAUGUUCUGCCAAUUUAUUCAAUUAAUGUUAUUUUUUCAAUAAAUAUCACAUUUUUAUUUUACAGAUGUAACUUGUAGGUGGUGUUACAAGAAUGGGAAACUCAAUUCUCUUAUUUUUUGAAAAAAAUUUUUGGACCUUAAAAUCACGAUUAACAUGUUUUUAUAAGUCAUCCUGGAUUGAAUGAUAAUAAAUUUCGUUCACGACCCAUUUUUGACAAGCAGAAAUCUAAUGCACUGCUAGAGAGCCCAACUGGAACUGGGAAGACCUUGUGUCUUCUCUGUGCUACAUUGGCAUGGAGAAAGAGCCUGGGUGGUUUCUCUAGAGGUAGAAGUGAAAGAAGUAGUCAACUUAGCAGUCAGGAUCCAGAUGAAUCAUCCAGGGAAUCACAAUCUUCAAAGUUGCCUACUAUCAUUUACACAUCGCGCACCCAUAGCCAACUUCGUCAAGUAAUUCAAGAGUUGAAAAGUACCAAUUACAGGUAUAGAUUGCUAUGAUCACUUUAUUAAAUACCUUUAUUAUAACUAUAGAAUCUGUGCUUAUCAAAUAUUGGAACUUAGGCUAUCAUUUUCUAAUUGGCAAUGUAUAGUUAUUUGAUCGGAAUGGUAGUAGAGUUGAAGAAGGCUUAUCCCUACAUGCAUCUAAACUCCUAUUACUUAACUAGUUUAGAUGUGGAAGUUUGGGAAAAAAGAUUGACAUUAAUAGGUUGUCAGAUAGAUGUUAUGAAAGUGAUGAGUUGUUAAAGGUGAUUGCUUCACUACUCUUCUGACUUGCUUUCUUUGUUGUCCUUAUAAAAUUGCAACUUCUGCAUCCAAUCAAGUGGUCUAAAAUUGUGCUGCAGGCCCAAAAUGGUAGUUUUAGGAUCUCGGGAGCAAUUAUGCAUUCACGAAAAAGUUCGUUCACUUCAUGGUAAAGCACAGACAAAUGCUUGCCAUGCCCUAUGUAAAAAGCGCAAGAAGCAUUAUUGUGCCCAUUUCUCUCGUGUUUCAGGUAAUAAUUUAAAUUUCAAGUUUGGCAUAGCAAAAGCUUUUGAUCAUAUAUCCAUUGCUUUGAAGAGAAUAGGAUAUGCAGCUCUCAGUUUUUUGUAAUCUUUUCUCUGCACUCUUUACCUUGUAGAAAAUGGUAAAAAUGAAAUAAAGCAAAAGAAAAUGAAGAUUUUACUUUUUUGUUAAACAUAUCGAACUUUAUUAUGUUAUUUCUUUCCAGAAUUCUUGAGGAGUAAUCCUGGUCUAGGCGACGAACCUGUUGAUAUAGAAGACUUGGUCAAUAUUGGACGAAGUUGUGGACCGUAAAUUCCUUGCUUAUAUUUCAUUUAAUGUGUAAGUUAACACAGUUAACUUUCUAAUAAUUCUUUGACUUAAUUUUUAGGUGUCCUUAUUAUCUGUCAAGAGAGCUUCACAAGGUUGUUGACAUCUUAUUUACGCCUUACAACUAUCUUAUUGAUCGUGGCUACAGAAAAACUUUGAACAUUGAGUGGCAAAAUAGUGUAUUGAUCUUUGAUGAAGCACACAACUUGGUAUAUUUUAUCCUUCAUCCUUAUGUUCUACGCUAUCACUUUUCACCUUUUUCUAUCAUUUUGGUCAUCUAUUAUGAAGUUUAAAGGAUGUCGGCGACUAUAGCUUUGUAUAGUGUGAAAUAAGAUGCCUUAGCACAUAUUUUAUUGAUGAUGAACUGGAAUCUUAGACACAAAACAUCGUGCAUUUCUCGUGAAAUGUAGGAAGGAUUGUGUGCUGAUGCUGCCUCUUUUGAUCUGCCCUCAAGCCUUCUGUCUGCUUGCAUUUCUGAGGCAAAAAGUUGUGUGGACCUUUCCAUUUCUCGGAGGGAUAAGUCAAAUGAUAAAUCUUGCAAACCAGAUAAUUUUGCUAUUCUAAGAGGUAUGAAGGAGUUAUUGGAACUGCCUGAGACAAUAAAUUGGUGCAUAUGACAAAUGUUCUUGUGUUUACCCAGCAUAUGUGCCAGGCUGUCAGUUACUAUUCAAAAUUUAUCUGGCUUGGCUAAUUUGAUAUGUGUUUAUUCCUGGUCCAAAGGUGACCUUUAUUAUUAGAGUUCAUUUUCCUGAAGUAAUUGUUGGUUCGUUUCACUUGUUUCCUUUGAUUUUCUGCAGCACUUCUUCUGAAGCUUGAGAAGAGAAUUGCUGAAGUGCCUAUAGAUUCCAAAGAAUUGGGGUUCACAAAACCUGGGCCUUACAUCUAUGAGCUGCUUGCUGAUCUAAAUGUCACGACAAAAACUGCCACCAUGUUGAUUGAUAUAAUCGAUGAAGCAGUACUACUUCUUGAGGAAGGUACCCCAGCCAUUGACUUUGUUCGUGCUUAAAGAACUAAUGCUAACUAUCGGUAACUGGCUUAAAAGCUCUAUCCCCCUACGUUAGCUGGCUGAAAAAGCAAUUUCUCCUUAAUCCACUCGGUAAAUUGAAACAAGUCCCAACCACGAGGCUUUGCCGCGAGAGUAAUGGUACCUGGUGCAUGAUAUCUUAAUUAUUAUCCUUCUAUUGUGUUCUGUUAUCUGAUAAUAGAGAUAAAACAUUACAGUACUUGGAGCACUGAUGGCGUUUUGGUUCAUCUCCUGGCAUUAUGUUCUUAUUUUCUUUUUAGUAAGAAAUGUCUUUUCUUUGGUUAGAUGCAAAUAUCUCUGACGAUGGAGGCCAGAAGACAAAAGGGACUGUCUGCAGAUUAGAAAGCAUGGGGGAUAUAUUUAGAUUAAUAUUCAGAGACAAUUAUAGUCAUGCUAACAACUAUCGUGUAAGUCCAGAUCAAUUCCUCUUCAAUUUCAGCAUAUUUAGGUUAAGUUUUUUCUUUCUUCUACACUGUUGCUUCAACUGUGUUGUUUACUGGCUGCUUGGAUAUAUUGCUAGUUGUUUGACAAGAACUCUUUCAUUCUUGUCCAGGUUCAUGUUCAGGAAGUCGAAGGAAGUACAUUAGAUGCCUUUAAAGGUAAACAUUUGAAUCUCGUUUUAUAUUUUGAGGAUUACUUCAAUCUUGCUCUUAUUAUUUUCCCUGGUAUUGGUAUUUUCCCUGGUUGGUAAUGAUCAAACACUUCACUCCAAGAUGUUUUAAAUUUUUGAAGAAUUUUGCUCAAUCAAUUAUUUAAUGAUCAGAUUCCACUAUUCAAUCAUAAAGCAGCUUAUUCAAUUUUCUUCAGAGACCUACCAAUUUAGAAUUUGAAGUUCUGGCUCUAGCAGGUCUUUGUACGGGAGAGAAACUUGUGAGAUUUGUACAAACUAUAGAUACCAUGUUCUUUUUCGAGUAGUAACUUUCUUAGAUGAAUCUUGGUUUAGCAAAUCACUAAUAGCUUUCCGUUAAAUUGCUAAAAAAGUAAUGGCAAGUAGUAUCUGUUUGAAAGGCUAAUGCAGGUAGGAUGAUAAAAAAACACAAUAGUGUACCACUUUUGAAUAAUAUUCAGGACCUUUCCUCUCAUCUUUUGCUGAAUAUAAGGUUUCUGGUUAAGUGUGCAUUCUUGUAAAGCUCAACAGUUGCUGCUAAGGUUUUUUAUGUUCUAAUUACAGUGAAAGAUUUUACUCGUGCUAAAAUUUGCAUUUUGCAGAGGACACCUUUUACUUUUAUGUAUUAUAUUAUCUAAUUGACAAGGAUGAGGGUGCACAUCUCAUCUUUUGAAUUGCUGAUCAUUUGUAGGUGCUUAGUUGAACUUGGCUGUUGUUCCAUUAUCCCAGCCAUAACCAAAAUCUUGAGUGCAUCUGUCAUUAGGACUACAUUGAGGAACAAACUUCUUAGAAAGCAGAAGUUUAUUCCUGAAUCCAUACUCACCUCUGUGGUGCUAAGCUAUUGGUGGGAAAGUCUAUGCCUUUGUUACAGAUAUAUGAUGGUGCAUUUCGUACUUGAGAUAUGUAUUGAUUAAAAAUUUUGAAAUAUUGAGUUAUGUAUUGAUUAAAGAUUUUGAAAUAUUCUUUGGGCAUAAACAUAGUACAGUCUCACAGAUGCACAAAAGUGCAUACAUAAGCACUUAUGUACACAUUUAUGCCAAGAAUAUUUGGCUGGUAUACCAUUUGUAGUAUACAACCAUUCAUCUCACAAACCAAGGAAUGCCUUUCAGAAAAUAAUAUCUGCUCUUAUUCUAUUUUGUUUACUUUAUCUACACAAGCAAUUUAAGUCUGCAGAUGCAUAUGUAUGUCAGAAAUGUAUAGGCCGAAUAGCAAUCAGUUUCAGGAUAAGCUGGCAAUAUAUUUAUACACCCUUAAGAAUUCCAAAUAUUCACUCUUGCCAAUCAGUGUUUCUGUGUUUUGCUAUGAAUUUGAUGCCACAGGCAAGACCUCAAGAAUUCUUAGUUGGUGGUGUUUCAAUCCGGGAAUUGCAAUGGAAGAAUUCUCCAGAUUUGGUGUUAGAUCUAUAGUUUUGACAUCUGGCACAUUAUCACCCAUGGAUUCAUUUGCUGAAGAAUUGAAACUGUAAGCAAAUUGUUUUCACAUAAUCUUGAUUCUUGAAUUAUUUCUGAAAAAACACCACUGUUAAUAAUGUAGGGAAUUUCCCAUUCGUUUGGAGAAUCCUCAUGUUAUAACAGAAAAUCAGAUAUGGGCAGGAGUUGUGCCAGCCGGUCCAUCUGGUUAUGCUUUUAACUCUUCUUAUAGGAGUCGUGAUUCGUUAGAAUACAAACAAGAGCUUGGCAAUGCCAUUGGUAUGUAUAUAUUUGAAUAAGGCAUCAUGUAAAACUAUUGAAAAACUCAGACUUCUAAAAACAUAACUUUGUAAUGCUUCUGGAGAGCAUCAAGUUCAAAACUACUUGUAAAGACAACUCGAAGUCAAUUUCCUCUAUCAUAAUUAGAUUUUUUAUAGCAACUAAAUGUUAUUACACAUGGUCAUUUAACAAAGUUCUUAUUUUCUGAAACUUACCUUAUAGUCAAUUUUGCUCGAAUUGUGCCCGAUGGACUUCUCGUGUUUUUCCCAUCUUACUACCUUUUGGACCAAUGCAUUGGGUGCUGGAAGACAAUGGUACGUAGUCUAGCUUGUGGGAUGAAAAUACUUUUAUUUUGCUUUUAUCUUUUUUUUUUUUUGACAUACUAUGUUUAUCAUUUCUGCAGGGUCAUACAAAUUUAUCAAAUUCUAGUACAAUAUGGGAGAGAAUCUGCAAAUAUAAGCUUCCCGUUGUUGAACCUAGACAAUCAUCUCUUUUUCCAAUGUCGAUAGAAGUAAAUACAUCAAGUUGAUAUGAGUCUACCUUUACUCUUCUAUAUUUAAGCCUUAUGUUAGAUCUUUCAGCUGCAUUCUCUUUUGGACAGGACUAUAUGACCAAGCUGAAAGAUAAAUCAGCUUCUGGGGCUGUAUUUUUUGCAGUUUGUCGUGGAAAGGUAUCGUUUCUCCUCAACUAAAAAAAAGCUUCUUCAGAUACAAUGCAGAUUUUAUGCCAUCUACAUGGAAUUUUAGUUUGAUUAAUUUUAUCUGUAGCAAGGGAAUUGAAAUGAAUUUUGUACCUUGGAAAAUUGAAUCAAUAAAAAAUAUCAUUGGAAGCAACUUUCUUGAUGAUCAGAAUUUCGUUGACUGAUAUAACCCUAGGUAAAAGUUUGGUCAUGAUUAAUCUGCAAGUUGAGGAAAUUAUGAAUUCUUUUUAUCUUCUAUGGCGUGGCCAAUAUGCCGGGAAGUUUAUGUGUUAGGUCAAGCUGAAUUCUGAACGAAGUCUGUUCCUCUGCAACAAAACUCACAGCAUUAUAUGCUGCAGAUUUAUAGGUCCCUUGCUGCAUUUUUAUUCACACAGGGGAAGACUGUUGCAUGAUGCUUCCCUUGUUGUUGGGUUUUGGAUCUAUUAGAUACACUACCUUGGUUCUGCGUUUUCAUUAUCACCCACUGCACAUCUUUCCUGAAGUUAUUUGAUUCCAUAUCUCAGUACUGAAGAUGCAUAGUUGUUUAAUAUUUAUUAUACAUCUAUGUGGCUAUAUUGUAGAACUUCCAUAUUAUGGUUCUUGCUCGACCACUUUAUGUUUUUUAUGUCUUAGGUCAGUGAAGGGCUGGAUUUUGCUGACCAUGCUGGAAGAGCUGUGGUCAUCACCGGCAUACCAUUUGCAACAAGGACUGAUCCUAAGGUUUGUCUAUGGCUUUUCUUCUCCUUGAAAUUCAUUUCUCUGGGCCAACUGUAGAUGGCCAAAAGAACUUUCAUUCUAAGAUCUUGUUUGCUAUUCUAUCCUUGUUUAACUCAGUGCAAGUACUCUAUUGCUGGAGUAUUGUACUUUAGCUGGCAAUCUUCUGUUUAACUUUCUGAAUUUCUGCUGUUGAAUCUUGUAGUUGCCAAUGUUAUUCGACCUGUGUCCAUAUGUUUUGAUACUGAGCUGAUUUCAACUGUUUGCUUUUUCUUCAUCUUCUUAUUGUUCCACGGAAAAGCUUUAGGACCAUAUGUCACAAUAGAAGUGAAAUUCACCACAUUUGAGGAAAUCUCAAUGGGUGGAUUGGUUAAACCUCAAAUGUAUCGGAUUAAUGGCCCAGGAAACAAAAUAAAGGAAAGAAGAGAUAGAAACUAAUGGAAAUAGAAGAGAUAAGUAUUCAGUUGAUUCUCAAUUUGUCAAUAUAUGUUGAGGAAUAAUUACAAUCUAUGAACCUCAAAUUUUGCUCUAUGCUUGUUGGCAAAAGGUGCACAUCCUGUAUAAAACAGAGACGUGGCUUGCCUGUUAAAUUCUCUUAUCAGAUCUUACCUUUGAAAUUUUGAUUGGUCAAACAUUCUUCUGCAGAUAUACGGAGUAAUUUGUAGCCUAGUUAGUAUUGUUUCAUGUUUUGCAUGCUCUCUUUCCAUCUCCCAUUCAAUUGGUUAUCUACAUAUUUGUUGGAUUAGCAAAUUUUCCUGCUAUAUGUUGAACAUAGUUAUGUUGGAUGAUAUGGUACAGGUUCGUCUAAAACGCGAGUAUUUGGAUGAGCAUGCCCAGUUGCAACAAUUAGGACAAAAGGUAGUUUGAUAAUUCAGGAGAAGUUAUAAAUUUUUCAUAAUGCAAUUACAUUACCUUUUGUUGCUUUAGAUCUUAUAAUGUAAUAUAAUGCUAAACUUAGAAUUCACAGGCUCUGACUGGAGAAGAAUGGUACAGCCAACAAGCAUCUCGGGCUGUAAAUCAGGCAGUUGGUCGUGUCAUACGUCAUCGGCAUGAUUAUGGAGCAAUUAUAUUUUGCGAUGAAAGGUUUGUAUACCACAGACCUGUUGCUUAACUUACACAAGAUUAUUAUCAUAACUUGGAGUUGAUAUGAAAUCUGUUGUAGCAUGAUUAGUAUAGAGAAGCCAAGCCAUUCAUUUGCCUAUUAGAGUGUAUAAUAUGUGGAGUAUUUAAUUUGAUUAUUUUAUUGGUCAUGUUUGAUGUUUUAUUCCAGUACUUCUUUUCUGCACUAUAAGUAGAAUUAUAAAUAUCACCUUGGAGAUGAUAGUCUGUCAGCUGAAAAUUACAUCACUGGAUCUGUUGAAGCUUGUGGAAAGUGUUACUUGUGUAAUUUGAAUAGGUUCUGGUAUGAAAUUUUGUACAUUUUUCAGUGCAAAUACCUAUAUCGAGACCCAGACAUUAAAAAAAAUGUUAAUUAAGACCCUGUAUGCUUUAUGCGUGUAGAAAUCUAAGGCAAAAUGGAGAGUCUGGCUCAAAUAUGGCAGGGCAAAAGGAAUAAUCCGAGUAACAUUGUUGAGAUUGAUGUCUAUCAUGUUACUGGCUGUUGAGAAACUUGACAGUUUCUGUUUUUCACCCCUAUGCACUUGUACAAUUGGUAAUGUUUUAAAACAUCUUAUGCUUUUGAAUUUAAUCCACGACUCAAUAUACAGGUUCUCAAAUUCAAAUCGUCAAUCCCAAAUGUCACUUUGGAUGCAGCCUCAUGUCAAAGUGUGAUUUGCUUUCUUUGCAAUCUUUCCUGUUGUUCUUUUCAGGUUUUCUUAAUUUUCCAGCUUCUUAUUUUCAAAUGAUAACAUGCUUGCGGAUGCCCUCCUUGCAGUGUUACUCUAAAUUCGGGGAUGUAGUCUUUACAUUGACUCGUUUUUUCCGCGAUGGAGGAAUUUGUGGUCCUACAAAGCUAGAAUUGACUCGAAACAGCUGUCAAGGUAGAGAUUCUUUGUGUUGUAUAUUGGAAUAUGUUUUCGUAUAAAAGCACAAGCUGUUAAAGGGUAGCAUUAUCCCCCCUUCCCCUUCCCUUUAUGUUCAGCUGGUUUUCACUGUUUUGUUUAGAAGAAACUUUUGAUAGGUGGAUUUUUCUUUCGCAGGAAAUGUGGAAAGCUCUCAGCCUCUGGACAAACUUCAUUCUGACAAGCUUCUGGUAUAUUUCAAUAAUUCAUACUUGUUUUGGGUUCAUGUCCACGUAGGACUUCAACAAUGAUUUUCUGUUUUUCUUCUUUUCUCCCUUGUUCACUAGACCACAGAUACAAGUUGCACUGUGGUUUCAGUAUCAUCUCCAAAGAAACGAGGCACAAGUCUUAGCCAUCUGACAGAAGUAGUUCCUGCUAAUCGUUCAUCUUUGACGUCACACAAGCUAAAUAUUGGCUUAAAACUUUCCAGUAAUGCAAAUCUGUUAAGCCAUUUGAGCACAAACAUGCAAUCUAGCUUUAAAGAUGCCAUUGGUUCUACCAAUUACGAUUUGUCAGGCACAAAAAGUAGUCAAUGCAUUGCACCUUGUUCUCUGAAGAAACCUAGAUUAGUAAUCACAGGACAUGAACAGACUGAAAGUUUUGAGAAGUCUGAUGAGCCUUCCUGCUCCAGAGAAAACAGUCAUGCGACAAGUUAUUCGACUGGUUUUUUGAAAAAUGAGAAAUUACAGUGGUUUAAUGAUAGAAGCAAGCAAAAUGCGCAAGAUAGCAGAAGGCUGCUUGAAAGCGAGGUGAAAGUGAAAAACAUGACUUGCACGUCUAUUGAUCCAAAAGAUAAGGAAAAGAACUCUGCCUCUACAGCGUCUAAUGAUGAAGAGAGAAAAGGAUCAGCUUUUCUGAUCCAGGUAACGUACUUGAAUCCUUUUUCUUCACUUUCUUCCCGUUCUUCCCACAGCAGUAACACCCAAGUGGAGUUCUAGAUGAAGGACCAUCAUCAUCAUCAUUCUAGCUGUUAUUUGUUUUCUUGGCCACUUAUUUAUCUACCUGGAACACUGUACCUUACAGGUCCAAGAAAAGCUUACAGACGCAGAAUACAAGGAAUUUGUCAGCUUUAUGAAGGCACUGAAGUCUAAAGCAAUGAAAAUUGGGCAUGUUUUGCAAUCCAUUGCGAGGUUAUUUUCUCUUCCAGAUAGGCUUCCUCUUUUACACGGGUAUGGUUUUCAGCAACAUUUAAAGAACAAUGACUAGCAGUUGUAGUUGUCUUUUUUUCCUUUCCUUUUUUUUAAACCCUUAUCCUUGUUCUUUAGUUUGGCUUUUUAUAAGUUGGGGACGUCAGAAGUCUGCGUAAAUGAAAUGCUUCACCUACAGCAAUCUUGUAACGUAACAAAAUGCCUUGCUAUUUGUGGAAUCUCUGUGGGAUUAUAAACCAAACUCAACAUUAAGAUUUUUUUUCUCUUAACAGUCUGAGGGCAACUACAUAUUAACUUCCAUCUGUCUUGAAUUUCUCUGCAGUUCUGCAUAUUCUGGUUAUUUACAUUACAACAGCUUCAUUUGUGGGAAUUGUUUUCUGUAGUUAUUUUAUUCAGAUAAUGACAUCACAAUAGGGAGUUUCUUGCUUCUUGUUUUGGAUGCUUCCAAUAAUUUUGACCUUUUUCUUUCUUUGGAAUUAAUGAUGAUGGCAAUGAGAACUUGCUUAUCCAUGUGUUUUUCCGGUCAGCCGUGCAGAGUAAAGUUGGUUGAAGAACUCGUAAUUCGAUUAGUUCAUAAACAAGAACAAAUGAGCAGGAUCAGUUAAUAGACGAGCUUUUGCUUUUCAUUUAACAUUUCUGUGUUUAGGUAUUUUGCAUACUACCCAAUGGAGUAUCACACGUCUCAUACGGCUUUUGCUCUAAUUGUUUACAGAUUCAAAGAUUACAUUCCCGCAAAGUACCAUUCCAUGUAUGAUCACCAUGUGCAGGCUAAUCAGAACGUUGCUGGUCUUUGAGGCGAGGGACACUUUGCUUGCAUGCCUUGGGAAGUAGAUAACUCUCUUUGCCAUGUAGUACAUACUGUCCUGUAACGUUUUACUAAAGCAAUGUAGAAAAUUUUCUGGAGAAAAUUUUGCCCCAUCACAAUCACGGAGCCCCAUCAUCAAAAACUUUGCUUGUCCCUGUAGCCUGCGGAAUGCGUGAGGUUUCUACCAUUACUUCUAGUCAGACAGAGAGGAACCACAGAAAGGGUAAAGGUCUACGUUUUUGUCAUGGAACUUGCUGUAACUGGGAAUUUCUCGUGUAAAAUUUCAAUUUAUUGGUUUACCGGUUACAAUUUAACUGUUCGUCUUAGUUUAAUUGUUUUCCUUCCACUCUACCUGUCUGAGAAAGAAGGAUCACUAAUGAAUGCAAAAACGAAAUAGAUGACGACUGAUGAGAUCGUGAGAGAGCAAGGACUCCGGUGAAGAAUUUGCUCAAAGUAUCUAACAAACCAACACAAACAUAGUACUAAUUAACAAAACACAUUUUACACAACUGACGAUGACAACGUUUUUUUCUUUAUUGAAAUCUGCGACUAACGUUUUUUUUUUUCCUCUGACGUUACGUCUCUUGUUUAAUUGGGUUCAUUAUUCUUCCUCCUCCUACCGCUAUCGGAUCGAGCACUCCUCGGCUUUGCAGGGGCUCCGCCCGAAUUUUCACGUAGGACUACGAUCAGGUCCACAAAUGCUCUGAGGAUGAACCUGUAUGAUUUCUUAUCAUUUAAGUUCAAGUAGCAAAACAAGAGCUCUUCCAUGAAUUCCCAAUCAAUUUUCCCGUUGUGAUGCAGUCUUGCGUCAACCAUUUCAUGCAUGGACUUCUUGAAAUCAUCAUGAGGGCUGACGGAAUAUUUCAAUACCGUAAUAAAGUCUUCAGGGUUUAGCACUUCGUUCACGUCUCCCUCUCCACCGUCAUCAUCGUCACUCGCCGUUGUUGUUGAAUCAUUGAUUCCGCCUUUGUUGACUGAGUUGGUGGUGGUGAUGGUGGUGGAGGUGGAGCUGGUGCCUAUAACCUGGAGCGUGCUUCUUGUCGAGCUCGUCCUAGCCUCCUCUAUCAGUGAACCCGAUGAGCUAGCCCGGGCGACGAAAAACCGAUGAGAACCACAAAGAUUAAUCUCUGGUGGAUCCUCGAACUUUGGCGAAUCUAACAGUGCUCCGCUGGGUUUUUCUUCAUUUUCGCCUUCAUGGCUUCUCUCGAUCUCUAUGCUGUCUUCUUCACCUUCUUCCUUCUUGUACAAGGACUUGAAAUUCUCCAGGAGGAAACGAUCUAUGUCAGACAGCGUUGCUGCACCGUCAGGAGCGUCUUCUUUUUCUUUGUUGUCAUCAAAGGCAAAGGACGGUGUCUUGGGGUGUCUGCAGCCACGCAAAAUCCAACUAGUAGUAGAGGAAGAAAGAGAACUUGAUGUGGAUGGAGACUGAACUUGUGGGGCGGGUUUCUUCUUCUUUGAGAGGUAUUCUUGGAGAGAUUUUUGAAGUUGGUUCGGCAUUCUCUACCUGUUUCCUUUGCGUCCAGUUCUUGUAACCUGCCAGGCUAUUCGGUAAAAUGAACAUACGGAAGAGGAUGUGGCUUUAUACUUGUACUUGGACGAGGCAAACCAAACUCGGGAUGUAACGCACGGCUUCAAAGUUAAAAGAUUGAGGUUUAAAGGAUUUGUUCUGCUACGUAACUACAGCAUUAAUACGGACACUUCAAUUGAACAAGGGAAUUUACUGCAACUCGGUAUUUGCAUGGGGAUUAAGUAUGGAUUUAAGUAAUUUUUAAUUUGAAUUUCAAAUUUUACACGUACACUCGUUCAAAUUCAUUAGUGUUAGCAUCUAAACUGUCAAUUGCAAAAAAAUUAAUCUGUAAAGUAUUGGAUCUCUGUUUGUAAGCAUUUAUUUUUACUUUGUUUGUUUGUUCGUCACGUAUUCUAUUACAGUUACACGUCAAUUCAAAGAAAAUCUAUUAAUUAAGCGGAUGGAUGAAUUGGGUGAUAUCUCCCGUUAUAAGCGUCAUUUUUUCGAAUUUAAAAUCUACCACUUACACUAAAAAAAAAAAAAGGCAAAAAUGAAAGUCUGCCAACCAAGACCAUGAAAAGAAUUGUGUUGCUGCGUUUGUGAAAGAUGCGUGCGUGCAUAUAUUGGUCUACUUCACCAUUUUCUUUUCUGUUUUUUUAAUAAGUUGAGUAGGCUCUUGCCACUGCCCCAAAAAAAAGAAAAGAAAAGGAGCUUAUGUUUCAAAAGCUUGGCCAUUAUUUGACUAAUAACUCUAUAAAAAAAAAAUAUCAUGUGAAAAAGAGUGCAAAGUGCACCACGGUAGAAACGGUGUCGUGGUGGAAGAAUGACGAGAAAUGCAUGGUGUCAAAGAAAUGUUGACCGUUGACAAUUACAACUUCCUCCGCUUUUGUUCCGUGAACCUGAAGGCUGAAAGGGCCAUAGAAUAGAGCCGGUGCAGUGAUCCACAAAAACAGAGAUGGAGAAGGAAGAAAGGAGGAGGAGGAUAGUGGAGAGGGGGUCUCAGAGACUCGCACUUAUCACUGGUAGCAUUCAAAACCUGGAAUCGCUGCCCUUAUCUCCAUCUCCCAAGCCCCAUCAUGACACUUCGCAUAGAAGAAUUCAUUCAGCCCCAGCAGUUGCUGCCCAUGCCAGUAAUGGCCUCUCCAUUUCUCAGGAUCAAGGACAUUAUCCAUCUCCAAAGCAAUCCCAUUUGAGUGGUACAUUCUCAUUCUCAUUUUCUUGUCAUAUAGUUUCCCUUAGAAAAUUUUCAGCCACAUCAUGUUGUCCGAAUUUCAUGUCACUUACGAAUAUCGCAAGAGACAUAAACAUCCUUAGUUAGUGCUAUAUCUGUGCCUGUAAAAUCAGAAAAUCUUCUUGUCCUUCCCCGAAUCAUAUUCAUCCACACAGACCAUUAGACAUCCUAUCACCAAUUACUUAGUAAUGUGAUAUCGAGAGUAAAUGCUGGCUCGAGUGGCAAAAUAUUAUUAAGGUUCCUGGCUUUGCAGCAUUCCACUCCCUUUCCUCUUGGGAUAUUAGAACUACAUACUUAAAAACAGUAUUGAAGCAAAUAAAUAUUGUGAUUCAGAAUUGAAGAUGGCAAUGAGACAUUUUUACUUGAAACCUUCCUUUUAAUUGUUGUGUUUUUUGCCUGACGGCUUAAUUUGUUAUUUGUGGCACGAAUGAACGUGCAAUAUGGGUGCUGAAAGAAUUGGUUGCAACAUUAAGAAACGAAAUUCUAUAAUGUGCUGUCAUUCAAAAACCCUUCUCAUCUCAUGAAUGCCCAUCCUAGUUAGCCAUAAGCAUCAGCUUUGAAUCAUUGAUCAGGUAUAUUCUUGUUUGUAUUGCCUCUGAAUCGAAUGGCCAAUACUGCAAUGACUGUCGCUGUAUUUGCAGUUCACACAUUAGUUAUAUGGAAUGUCAGCCUUAAUUAUAAACUUCUAAUCCCACAACUACUUGAUAGAAUUGAUAUCGUCUUUCAAAUUAUUUACCUUGCAAAAAAUUAGCUGUAUUUUGUUCACAAAGACUAGUUAUAUCGUCUGAAAGGCAAACAUUCAACUCAUCCACGCGCGGCUGCUUAGCAGUCAUCUUCUAAAAGUUAAUUUGUUUUUUAGGUGAAGCUGAUUCACUUGGUUUACCAUUGAAACACAACCUGAGUUAUGGAGUUAGUAAAGAUGAUGGACUUCAGAACAGAACGAAAGCAUUCAACCAUCAGAAUGAUCACGCAAAUACAGAAGAAAUGCAAGACUCAGAAGCCACAUUUAGAAAUGAAGCAGAACUCUCAGCUGUUAAUACAAGAGUGACUAAAGCAUCAGAUGAUCACGCAAAGAUGUUCAUGAGAGAGUCAAGGGGUGGAACUCUUCUUAAUUUUUUCACUCCCAAAGAAAUAAAUUCCAGCAUCAUAUCUUCAGAGGAUACGCGAGUAUUCUGUUCCAUCAUGAUAGCUCUGCUUGUAGUCAUCGCUUAUGCUAAUCUUCCUCACCACAUUGUAAAAUCAAAGAGCCUGAUCGCCUCAAGACCUCUUUACGUGCUUCUGUUAACUGAUGUGAUGAUAGUGAUUCUACGAAUAUCCUCCGCAAAGCAGAGAGGCUCUGGAGAAAUGGACGUGCAAAAGAAAGCAGCAAAAAUUUUGGAAAGUGAUAGACAUAAUAUCCACUGGGAUGAAGCCAUUAAGGUCCUGGAAUGGGGUCUGGUGCUGUAUCAAACUGUCCGUGCUAUUUUCAUAGACUGCAGUUUCUACAUAGUCAUUGUCAUUUGUGGCUUUUCUUUCAUGUAGCUAGCUCGAAGCAACUCUAUAUGAUGGCCGCUGUGCUUAGCUCUAUUAUCAAUUUUCUCAUAUCCCGAAAGUUAGACAGAAUUUGUGAAUCUGCUUCAGUUGAACCUCAUCAGUUUCUGUACGAAGCAGUUAGUCUGCCUUACUUUCACGGUAACUUUUUGUGCAUGCCCUGCGGAGCCUACAUUACAAUAGCCCCUCAUUCAGGUGAGCCAGCCACUAAGUGGAUUCUGGAAUAGGUUCAGUAGGGGAGAGAUUUCUUGCACCUCUGAUGUCCAACGUACGGUCGUUGAGAUCAAAAUGCAUGCAUUAUUUGUGCAUCUAACGUUCGAGAGAGGGGAGUCAAGAUGCAAGAUCCUUCACUGAAUGCCAUAAUUGUGGUAGGUACGAAGUCUUUUAUUUAUUUUUUUUCUUUUCUUUCUAAAUCAUGGUUUAGAAAUCAGAUUCAUGGCCGUGAGUUUGCCUGCCUUGAUAAGCUGCAGCUCUUAAAUUGGAAAAGGGCGUUAAGUAUAGUUGUUGAGUACUCGUUUUCUAUUGAAUGUAUUCUGGGACCAACUUGGAAGAAUAGGCAGAAGGGUUUCCCUCUCUGAAAACAAAAGGUGUGCCCCAGCAAUUUCAUUUUGUGAUAUUGGUGGUCACGCUCGAUUGCUACAUUUUUCCUCUUCUUGUUGGUUUACAAACCAAAGAAAUUUUUUUUUUCCAAAAAAAAAAUAAGAAAGCAAGAAAGAAAGGCAACUGUUAAAUCAUCAUUUGUAUGUCAAGUUAUAAUCUAAAAUCUCUUCAAAGGGUGAUAUUAUGAUUUUCUACAGUUUUGUGAAAAUGUGGCUAUGUGUGGCUUCUAAUAUGAAAUACGAUAAGAAAGUUAAUUAGAUGAGUAGUAAUGCUUGACUGCCCUAAUUAAGCUAAGCAGUAACAGGUAGCUAUUUGUUUAUCUAUCAUAUCUGAAUCCUGAUUACCAAGAACAUGGUCCAUAAUAGUAGUGCUUAGCUAUUACAGAUGCAAUUAUAGUUUUUUGUUUUUUUACCCCCAAAUAAAGAAAUUUCAAGAUUACGCGAAUCAGAUAUAGAAAACAUGCCCCAAAUUAUUAUUAUUAUUUUUUUUUAAAAAAAGUUCGGCCUGCCUCCGUCCAAGAACCAUUAUUAUUAGGAGGAAAAUCACUCCCCUACCCUGUGUACAGGACAGAUAGUGCCAAGCCCAUAGGGGACACUAGUUUGACACUUUAGAAAACAGGAUCAGCUGAAUUUUCUCGAUCCCUUGUUGCCGGUGUCUUUGACUUCACAUUGAUUUAACGAGUUACUUUAUUCUGUGUUCAUCUUGCGUAGGAGUGGCUAGGAUGAAGCUUUGAGAUAAAGUGCUUCGAAAUUCAACCCUUUUCUCUGGAUUGGCUGUGUGUAUGUAUGAAGCUUUAAAGAUUAAUGAUGGUUGACAAACAGGGAAAAAUAAUUGUAGCAUCGAUCGAUUAGAAAGGUAGAAAAACAAUUUCAGGCCUGACUCCCCAACUUCCUGCAAAUGGUGAGCAAUCAAGUAGAUGCUGAUUAUUUGGACCAAUUGUUGUUAAAUUUCUGACCAAGAUGUUAAAUAAAAAAAUAUUGUGCGUUGUUCAUAGUCAAAAGCAUCGCCGGAAUUCAUUCAUUCCAUCUUGUCUUUGCUCCCUACCUCCUUUAUUUAUAAUGCGACCUACCCCAUAAACAAGUACUGUAAUAAUGCUAGUAAUAAAUUGCUUCGCUCAAAUGUUCAAUACUACUACUAUGAGCACAGAAACAUGGGCAAAAAGUCUCUGUUUGAAUUACCUAACAAUUAUGUAUGAUAUUAAACAAAUAUUUAUGGGAGUGAAAACUAACUACUGUGCUUGGUGUGAUUUACUGACUAAUCCUCAAUAUUCAACGAAUUAGCUACGCACUUUGUAUCAAGAAGAAAAUAAAAAGAAACUACUAGAUCAUGCAGCUUCCUUUUGCUGCCAUUGACGGGCGGCUCGAACUUCAAUCUCCAAAAGUCAACACAACGAGGGUGGACUGUGGACUUGAAACAUGGAAGGCAUCUUCAUCACACCAAUCAAGAAAGAAUACAGGAAACCAUAAAAGACGCGAUAGCAUCAAAUGCUAGUCUCUCCUCGUGAUGAGUGGGGCUUGCACAUCAAGUAGAAAUGCUAAUUUAUGCAGCAAGCAAGGAUUGACCUUGCACUUCGUUCACGCUUUCAUUCACUUGCAUAUUGAUGACUAAUACCCAUUCAUAUUUUUUGCCCUUUGACAUUACAUUGAAGUUAUUAAGACUUGAUUUCAAUGCAUAUUAAUUUUACACGCACUUGUGAAUGGAGAAAAUUCUAUAAUUCAAGCAUGUAUUAGUGAAUAUAUUUGCAAUAACAUGAUGAAUCUGUAACGAACAUAUAUAUAAAAGAAAUUUCAGUGCUUAAAAGCUUAAUCCAUCAAUUAGUUGCACAAGUCACUUUCUAGCCAUAGAUCCUCUGCAUCAUUAUUAUUCCAUAAUCCCAUCAUGUUAGAGAGCGGCAUGGGAACAGGAGUGGGUAGAAGAAGAAGAUAUUCAAAGAACUGUAGGAAGAAAGAAUGCCUUGAUUCAAGAUUGUCAACCUCAAAUGAACAUCAUUACAACUAAACAUGGAGUCCAGUGAUAGAACAUCAUCAAGGACUCCUUCACUCCCUUCAAAUUUUCAAACAUCUAAUACAUCUUUGUCAUCAAAGAUCCUUGAAGGAACGGCAAACCGAGCAGAAAAUGAUCUGGAGAUGUCAUCAGGAUCAGCCCAAGUCAACCCCUGAUCGAAGUUUUGAGAAUAAGUGUAUGGAUCAUAAGCAAACCUCGUUGAAGUCGAACGGUAGAACGUUCUUUUCUUCUCCUUCUUCAUCUUCGUCCACAACUGUCUCCAAAUUGGUGCUUUUGAUCCGCUGCUUGGUCUUAUUAUAUGGGACACAAAUCGAUCAUAAUUUCUGCUGGAAAAACUUCGGCUCCAACAGCAGCAGCACACUUCACCAUUGCCCGAGCUGCACCGUGCUCCCAUGUCCAUGACCACUGUGAAUGGUCUCCUCUCUGGACCUCAGGGAUUUAUGGUUGGUUUGCCUAGGCACGGAGCGUAAAUGCAAGGAAGGGGACUAUAUAUAAUUGACCAAAUGGUGCAUCAAUAUUUUAGCUCUAGUGUGGAUGAAUAUUAUAUUACUUGGGGUGGUCUAUGUGUCAUUGCGUAAUGUAGUAACAUGGUCCAACAAGGAAGUGAGAAAUGGGGCAUGUGAGAUAAUCAGAGUAAACUUUCUAGGAUUUGGUGGACACAUUUAAGAUGUUUACCUUAUACAUCGGUCAGGCGUCAUCAAAGUUCAUGGAUCUCCAUUUAUCAUGCAAUUAAACUGAAAAAAUAACGAUGUACGGAUGUUUUAAUUCUAGUAGCUAAAGAGGACUGGCUAUUGUAUUGAAGAGGCUUUAUGGGAUUGGAUUGGAUCACUUGAUUAUCUAAAAUCUAAAAUAAAAGUGAUUGUUAAUGCUCUGUCUAUCUUCAACCAUAGGAUUUAUGGGGGAAGGGAUGAGUUGAGUGUUACGGAGGAGGAAGAGGGGAGAGAGUAUAAAUGAAAUGUUCUGAAUUCGAAGCCUUCCACCCACAUUUUAAAAGAAAAGAUUUAUUACCAUACAUGAAUAUUAACAGAUGGACAACCACAAGGUAAAUAGAUAAGAUAAAAAGAAAGUGAUGGCCUUCUUUUGUUCUCCUACUUCCUCUUUUUUUUCUCUCUUGAAUUCCACUUUCAUAGUUUAUUUUUAUUGUCAACGAAUCUCAAAUAUUUGCUUAGAGACCCUGAUAUUGCCCACAUUCCGAGUGCUCCUGUACCGAAACGAAUGAAAAGUUGAUCGCAGGAGGAGAUAAUAUAAAAAUGGUGUUUCUAUAUAUAUAUUCUAUCUUGUUGAUCGGGAGGACACUGUAAAUAAUAGCAUCACUGUAAAUUUAGAGUGAUUUUGAGAGUUGAUGACAUAACUGUAUAUCGGUACUCUCUAUUGUAACCGAGAACCGCAUUGGCGUCUAUUUUAUGACUAAAAUUUAUGAAUAAGAUUAAGAAACUAAUUCAACUUUUAAUUGGGAGAUUGGGCUGGCAAAGUAAUGAAUAUAUAGUUAAGAGAUAGAUGUUCAUAACUUUUUCUAUUUUUUCUUCGGAUAAAUCAGACUCAUUCACUACUGAUUCUUCCUUCCAUCGAGAAACCCUUCUGAUUGUUGAAUCCAUUGUAUUGUUUGUGGUUAGAACCUUCUGUUGGCGCGUCGCCACAUCUUCCGAUUCCAGGCCAAGUGUUACUACUACUUUUUUACGAGUUCAUUUCAUGAAGACAACUCCCACAAGAUUCUACCAAAAUUAUAGAGCGUGCGCCCCACUGCCACUGCUGCCGUUGCAAUCAUCCAAAGCAAAAAGGCUAAGGCCUACGGGAAUAGAAAAAGCAAUCCCUUUCCGAAAAUGUCGUCAUAUACUAACUAAUACUACUGCUGCUCCUUCUGCUACUUAUUCCAACCUUUUCUUCGCGUCCUCCCUUUAAUUAUUCUCCUCCUUAGCCCCUCUUGUAGUUGUAACCGACGCUGCUCCCUAAUCAUUUGUUCCUGGGAAAGAAAGAAGAAAACAUGUGCUACCCCAGGCUUGCAAUUCAUUGAUCCUUUCCACCGUCGAGGAAGCCUCCGCAGGCACGUGGUUUCUCCUGUGGGAACGGCAGCUGCGGAGAUGAGGCCGCAUCAGCAGCUGCACCAGCACGCAACAGUUGGCGCUGAUAGAGGCGGAGAGGUUGCUGAUGCAGGUGCGGUGAAACAGUGUUUGUGUUCACCAACGCGCCACCCGGGUUCGUUUAGGUGCAGGCACCAUCGUACAGAGUAUCAGUGGGUUGGUCGGCUGGGACCCCAGAACAGUUAUAGUACUUAACUUUUCCUGUCUGUCUGUCAUCCAACGGGCUACCCACCCACCCACCCGUCCUGUUGAUUCAAGAUGAUCCAUUGUACAAGGUACAAUUAACAGUGCCAUGUAAUUUCUCUCCACCUUCUAAUGCUACUACAUUCUGAAGCUUAACGAACGCCACCGAGAAAUUGUACUACAAGGCAAAUUGAGACUUCUUUUCACCUCUUCCAACCCGCCCAUGUUACGAUCAGAGGUCUGCGUCACUAAUUGCCGGCCAAAAUAGUUGAAUUAUAAGGAACAUACAAUCGAAAAGCCGCGAGGAAAUUUGAAGAGGGAAAAAGUACGCUAGACAAACUGGUGGUUUCUAUUAGAAAUUAUACACUGCUAGUCUACACAAGGUUUAUAUACAGGCAAAUCCAACGUAGUUUAUACGUGAUACAUAUGCUGCAGCAUCAUCCUUAAUUUUUUUUUUCCCCGUAGCUGUAGGGAAUGUAAUACGCCAUAAUCUAGUAGUAAAGACGCUAAAACAGGGGAUCCAAACCCAAAUCUCUCACUCAUCGUAGACCUCUAUACUAAAUGAGGAACGGGAGUUUGUCAAAGCCAACUCUGGAGCCGCUGCAUGUGGUCUCCAAGCUUAAUCAUAAUCACUGCCCAAAGAGUAGAAGAGUUAGUGAUGCCAUACCGGGAAAGGGCCACUCAGUAAAUCUACAAAUAAAUCUUUCACAGUUCUGCUACACCAGGCUGCAUUAGACCUCAGGUAGCUAUCCGUUUCCUUAACAGCAACUAUAAUGAAAGAACAAAUGCAGAGGCGAUUAACACACACUGGAUGCUUACCUCAGGGUAACAGUUUUGGUGCUCGAUUGUCUGAUUGUGGAUAUUUACAUUAACCUCACAUGACACUUUCCCCUGCAGAACACCAUAAGCAAGCACAUCAUAAAUCAGGGGCACAUAUCAUCUGGGGAAGCAUGAAAAGGCUAAUCAUGAAGUCCCAUUUGUUACGUCUUCCUUGGGUGUUAUGCUUCGGUAACAGAAGAAUAGGAGGACCAGCCAGAGCCAGCCCACCCCACGCAACUUAAAAUAGACGUGUUCUGUGAAGGCAUUAUUGGACAUAUACUUCUGUCAAAAUUGACAAGCAAUGUACAUUAAACAAAAGGAUUAAUCUUUAUAUACUGCCAAGUUUGGAUGCACGGCAAAAAAUCUAAAUUUGAACUUCAAAUCCAAAUUUUGCAUAUGUUUUAUGCAUCUAACCAUGAUAACAUAUACAACGUCAAUGUAUACAAGAUUUUCUCUAUACAAAUUGUGAACAAUACAAAAGAAGGCCCAAGGGAGCUUAACAGAUGAUGCUUUCUCAUUUUAGAUACGAUUCCCACAAGACACGAAUGAAGUUUCACCGAGCAUCAUAGAUUGCAUUUCAGAAUGUCUGGAUGCUGGCAUGGACGAAAGAGUCCAUAUGCUAGUACCUAACAAUACUCAAAAACCUGCUUCUGUUUAGUGCAUGCACGGAUGCUUACCAGCCAAAACUCAUUUCUGUUUAUAGGAACUUUAAAAACUUCUAACUACUACUUUACUUGUUCACAAUUUGCAGCAAGUUAUACCGGUUAUAUCAGUAAUUAGUGUUCUUGCUUAUACAUUAAUAGACUUACAAGAACCCAACGUCUGUUUGGCUGGUAACCAGAGCAUACUACGGGGGAAGUUGAUUCUCUUUGUUUCAAUUUUCACUGCAGAUACACUCAACCAUGUAAUUUCUCUCCACCUUCUAAUGCUACUACAUUCUGAAGCUUAACGAACGCCACCGAGAAAUUGUACUACAAGGCAAAUUGAGACUUCUUUUCACCUCUUCCAACCCGCCCAUGUUACGAUCAGAGGUCUGCGUCACUAAUUGCCGGCCAAAAUAGUUGAAUUAUAAGGAACAUACAAUCGAAAAGCCGCGAGGAAAUUUGAAGAGGGAAAAAGUACGCUAGACAAACUGGUGGUUUCUAUUAGAAAUUAUACACUGCUAGUCUACACAAGGUUUAUAUACAGGCAAAUCCAACGUAGUUUAUACGUGAUACAUAUGCUGCAGCAUCAUCCUUAAUUUUUUUUUUCCCCGUAGCUGUAGGGAAUGUAAUACGCCAUAAUCUAGUAGUAAAGACGCUAAAACAGGGGAUCCAAACCCAAAUCUCUCACUCAUCGUAGACCUCUAUACUAAAUGAGGAACGGGAGUUUGUCAAAGCCAACUCUGGAGCCGCUGCAUGUGGUCUCCAAGCUUAAUCAUAAUCACUGCCCAAAGAGUAGAAGAGUUAGUGAUGCCAUACCGGGAAAGGGCCACUCAGUAAAUCUACAAAUAAAUCUUUCACAGUUCUGCUACACCAGGCUGCAUUAGACCUCAGGUAGCUAUCCGUUUCCUUAACAGCAACUAUAAUGAAAGAACAAAUGCAGAGGCGAUUAACACACACUGGAUGCUUACCUCAGGGUAACAGUUUUGGUGCUCGAUUGUCUGAUUGUGGAUAUUUACAUUAACCUCACAUGACACUUUCCCCUGCAGAACACCAUAAGCAAGCACAUCAUAAAUCAGGGGCACAUAUCAUCUGGGGAAGCAUGAAAAGGCUAAUCAUGAAGUCCCAUUUGUUACGUCUUCCUUGGGUGUUAUGCUUCGGUAACAGAAGAAUAGGAGGACCAGCCAGAGCCAGCCCACCCCACGCAACUUAAAAUAGACGUGUUCUGUGAAGGCAUUAUUGGACAUAUACUUCUGUCAAUUUUAUUCAUGUUUUUAUUGAAUUUUAUUAUGAAAAAUUUUGCAAUUAUUCAUAACAUGUUGUGCUAAAUAACUGCAUUCAUCGUGUAGUAGCUGUUGACAAUUUUCAUUUUCAUUUCCAAAAUCUGGACAGCUGGUUUACUUUUAAAUUUUUUUAAAAAAUUCUUUUUCGUUAUGGAAUUUUGGAUUCUUUUUGUUGAAUUUUCAUUUUCUAAUAUUUUAGCUCGGGAGGGGUGGGAAGGGAUAUGGGAAUGGGAAUGGUGAUGGUGAGAACCGAAUACUUAUUCUAAGUCGAGGGGGGAAACAAAAUCCUUAAAGCUGGUUCAUCUUCUAUUAUAAUUAAAACAGAUAGUCAUUUACGUAAAAUUUGCACGACCAUGUUCUGCCAAUUUAUUCAAUUAAUGUUAUUUUUUCAAUAAAUAUCACAUUUUUAUUUUACAGAUGUAACUUGUAGGUGGUGUUACAAGAAUGGGAAACUCAAUUCUCUUAUUUUUUGAAAAAAAUUUUUGGACCUUAAAAUCACGAUUAACAUGUUUUUAUAAGUCAUCCUGGAUUGAAUGAUAAUAAAUUUCGUUCACGACCCAUUUUUGACAAGCAGAAAUCUAAUGCACUGCUAGAGAGCCCAACUGGAACUGGGAAGACCUUGUGUCUUCUCUGUGCUACAUUGGCAUGGAGAAAGAGCCUGGGUGGUUUCUCUAGAGGUAGAAGUGAAAGAAGUAGUCAACUUAGCAGUCAGGAUCCAGAUGAAUCAUCCAGGGAAUCACAAUCUUCAAAGUUGCCUACUAUCAUUUACACAUCGCGCACCCAUAGCCAACUUCGUCAAGUAAUUCAAGAGUUGAAAAGUACCAAUUACAGGUAUAGAUUGCUAUGAUCACUUUAUUAAAUACCUUUAUUAUAACUAUAGAAUCUGUGCUUAUCAAAUAUUGGAACUUAGGCUAUCAUUUUCUAAUUGGCAAUGUAUAGUUAUUUGAUCGGAAUGGUAGUAGAGUUGAAGAAGGCUUAUCCCUACAUGCAUCUAAACUCCUAUUACUUAACUAGUUUAGAUGUGGAAGUUUGGGAAAAAAGAUUGACAUUAAUAGGUUGUCAGAUAGAUGUUAUGAAAGUGAUGAGUUGUUAAAGGUGAUUGCUUCACUACUCUUCUGACUUGCUUUCUUUGUUGUCCUUAUAAAAUUGCAACUUCUGCAUCCAAUCAAGUGGUCUAAAAUUGUGCUGCAGGCCCAAAAUGGUAGUUUUAGGAUCUCGGGAGCAAUUAUGCAUUCACGAAAAAGUUCGUUCACUUCAUGGUAAAGCACAGACAAAUGCUUGCCAUGCCCUAUGUAAAAAGCGCAAGAAGCAUUAUUGUGCCCAUUUCUCUCGUGUUUCAGGUAAUAAUUUAAAUUUCAAGUUUGGCAUAGCAAAAGCUUUUGAUCAUAUAUCCAUUGCUUUGAAGAGAAUAGGAUAUGCAGCUCUCAGUUUUUUGUAAUCUUUUCUCUGCACUCUUUACCUUGUAGAAAAUGGUAAAAAUGAAAUAAAGCAAAAGAAAAUGAAGAUUUUACUUUUUUGUUAAACAUAUCGAACUUUAUUAUGUUAUUUCUUUCCAGAAUUCUUGAGGAGUAAUCCUGGUCUAGGCGACGAACCUGUUGAUAUAGAAGACUUGGUCAAUAUUGGACGAAGUUGUGGACCGUAAAUUCCUUGCUUAUAUUUCAUUUAAUGUGUAAGUUAACACAGUUAACUUUCUAAUAAUUCUUUGACUUAAUUUUUAGGUGUCCUUAUUAUCUGUCAAGAGAGCUUCACAAGGUUGUUGACAUCUUAUUUACGCCUUACAACUAUCUUAUUGAUCGUGGCUACAGAAAAACUUUGAACAUUGAGUGGCAAAAUAGUGUAUUGAUCUUUGAUGAAGCACACAACUUGGUAUAUUUUAUCCUUCAUCCUUAUGUUCUACGCUAUCACUUUUCACCUUUUUCUAUCAUUUUGGUCAUCUAUUAUGAAGUUUAAAGGAUGUCGGCGACUAUAGCUUUGUAUAGUGUGAAAUAAGAUGCCUUAGCACAUAUUUUAUUGAUGAUGAACUGGAAUCUUAGACACAAAACAUCGUGCAUUUCUCGUGAAAUGUAGGAAGGAUUGUGUGCUGAUGCUGCCUCUUUUGAUCUGCCCUCAAGCCUUCUGUCUGCUUGCAUUUCUGAGGCAAAAAGUUGUGUGGACCUUUCCAUUUCUCGGAGGGAUAAGUCAAAUGAUAAAUCUUGCAAACCAGAUAAUUUUGCUAUUCUAAGAGGUAUGAAGGAGUUAUUGGAACUGCCUGAGACAAUAAAUUGGUGCAUAUGACAAAUGUUCUUGUGUUUACCCAGCAUAUGUGCCAGGCUGUCAGUUACUAUUCAAAAUUUAUCUGGCUUGGCUAAUUUGAUAUGUGUUUAUUCCUGGUCCAAAGGUGACCUUUAUUAUUAGAGUUCAUUUUCCUGAAGUAAUUGUUGGUUCGUUUCACUUGUUUCCUUUGAUUUUCUGCAGCACUUCUUCUGAAGCUUGAGAAGAGAAUUGCUGAAGUGCCUAUAGAUUCCAAAGAAUUGGGGUUCACAAAACCUGGGCCUUACAUCUAUGAGCUGCUUGCUGAUCUAAAUGUCACGACAAAAACUGCCACCAUGUUGAUUGAUAUAAUCGAUGAAGCAGUACUACUUCUUGAGGAAGGUACCCCAGCCAUUGACUUUGUUCGUGCUUAAAGAACUAAUGCUAACUAUCGGUAACUGGCUUAAAAGCUCUAUCCCCCUACGUUAGCUGGCUGAAAAAGCAAUUUCUCCUUAAUCCACUCGGUAAAUUGAAACAAGUCCCAACCACGAGGCUUUGCCGCGAGAGUAAUGGUACCUGGUGCAUGAUAUCUUAAUUAUUAUCCUUCUAUUGUGUUCUGUUAUCUGAUAAUAGAGAUAAAACAUUACAGUACUUGGAGCACUGAUGGCGUUUUGGUUCAUCUCCUGGCAUUAUGUUCUUAUUUUCUUUUUAGUAAGAAAUGUCUUUUCUUUGGUUAGAUGCAAAUAUCUCUGACGAUGGAGGCCAGAAGACAAAAGGGACUGUCUGCAGAUUAGAAAGCAUGGGGGAUAUAUUUAGAUUAAUAUUCAGAGACAAUUAUAGUCAUGCUAACAACUAUCGUGUAAGUCCAGAUCAAUUCCUCUUCAAUUUCAGCAUAUUUAGGUUAAGUUUUUUCUUUCUUCUACACUGUUGCUUCAACUGUGUUGUUUACUGGCUGCUUGGAUAUAUUGCUAGUUGUUUGACAAGAACUCUUUCAUUCUUGUCCAGGUUCAUGUUCAGGAAGUCGAAGGAAGUACAUUAGAUGCCUUUAAAGGUAAACAUUUGAAUCUCGUUUUAUAUUUUGAGGAUUACUUCAAUCUUGCUCUUAUUAUUUUCCCUGGUAUUGGUAUUUUCCCUGGUUGGUAAUGAUCAAACACUUCACUCCAAGAUGUUUUAAAUUUUUGAAGAAUUUUGCUCAAUCAAUUAUUUAAUGAUCAGAUUCCACUAUUCAAUCAUAAAGCAGCUUAUUCAAUUUUCUUCAGAGACCUACCAAUUUAGAAUUUGAAGUUCUGGCUCUAGCAGGUCUUUGUACGGGAGAGAAACUUGUGAGAUUUGUACAAACUAUAGAUACCAUGUUCUUUUUCGAGUAGUAACUUUCUUAGAUGAAUCUUGGUUUAGCAAAUCACUAAUAGCUUUCCGUUAAAUUGCUAAAAAAGUAAUGGCAAGUAGUAUCUGUUUGAAAGGCUAAUGCAGGUAGGAUGAUAAAAAAACACAAUAGUGUACCACUUUUGAAUAAUAUUCAGGACCUUUCCUCUCAUCUUUUGCUGAAUAUAAGGUUUCUGGUUAAGUGUGCAUUCUUGUAAAGCUCAACAGUUGCUGCUAAGGUUUUUUAUGUUCUAAUUACAGUGAAAGAUUUUACUCGUGCUAAAAUUUGCAUUUUGCAGAGGACACCUUUUACUUUUAUGUAUUAUAUUAUCUAAUUGACAAGGAUGAGGGUGCACAUCUCAUCUUUUGAAUUGCUGAUCAUUUGUAGGUGCUUAGUUGAACUUGGCUGUUGUUCCAUUAUCCCAGCCAUAACCAAAAUCUUGAGUGCAUCUGUCAUUAGGACUACAUUGAGGAACAAACUUCUUAGAAAGCAGAAGUUUAUUCCUGAAUCCAUACUCACCUCUGUGGUGCUAAGCUAUUGGUGGGAAAGUCUAUGCCUUUGUUACAGAUAUAUGAUGGUGCAUUUCGUACUUGAGAUAUGUAUUGAUUAAAAAUUUUGAAAUAUUGAGUUAUGUAUUGAUUAAAGAUUUUGAAAUAUUCUUUGGGCAUAAACAUAGUACAGUCUCACAGAUGCACAAAAGUGCAUACAUAAGCACUUAUGUACACAUUUAUGCCAAGAAUAUUUGGCUGGUAUACCAUUUGUAGUAUACAACCAUUCAUCUCACAAACCAAGGAAUGCCUUUCAGAAAAUAAUAUCUGCUCUUAUUCUAUUUUGUUUACUUUAUCUACACAAGCAAUUUAAGUCUGCAGAUGCAUAUGUAUGUCAGAAAUGUAUAGGCCGAAUAGCAAUCAGUUUCAGGAUAAGCUGGCAAUAUAUUUAUACACCCUUAAGAAUUCCAAAUAUUCACUCUUGCCAAUCAGUGUUUCUGUGUUUUGCUAUGAAUUUGAUGCCACAGGCAAGACCUCAAGAAUUCUUAGUUGGUGGUGUUUCAAUCCGGGAAUUGCAAUGGAAGAAUUCUCCAGAUUUGGUGUUAGAUCUAUAGUUUUGACAUCUGGCACAUUAUCACCCAUGGAUUCAUUUGCUGAAGAAUUGAAACUGUAAGCAAAUUGUUUUCACAUAAUCUUGAUUCUUGAAUUAUUUCUGAAAAAACACCACUGUUAAUAAUGUAGGGAAUUUCCCAUUCGUUUGGAGAAUCCUCAUGUUAUAACAGAAAAUCAGAUAUGGGCAGGAGUUGUGCCAGCCGGUCCAUCUGGUUAUGCUUUUAACUCUUCUUAUAGGAGUCGUGAUUCGUUAGAAUACAAACAAGAGCUUGGCAAUGCCAUUGGUAUGUAUAUAUUUGAAUAAGGCAUCAUGUAAAACUAUUGAAAAACUCAGACUUCUAAAAACAUAACUUUGUAAUGCUUCUGGAGAGCAUCAAGUUCAAAACUACUUGUAAAGACAACUCGAAGUCAAUUUCCUCUAUCAUAAUUAGAUUUUUUAUAGCAACUAAAUGUUAUUACACAUGGUCAUUUAACAAAGUUCUUAUUUUCUGAAACUUACCUUAUAGUCAAUUUUGCUCGAAUUGUGCCCGAUGGACUUCUCGUGUUUUUCCCAUCUUACUACCUUUUGGACCAAUGCAUUGGGUGCUGGAAGACAAUGGUACGUAGUCUAGCUUGUGGGAUGAAAAUACUUUUAUUUUGCUUUUAUCUUUUUUUUUUUUUGACAUACUAUGUUUAUCAUUUCUGCAGGGUCAUACAAAUUUAUCAAAUUCUAGUACAAUAUGGGAGAGAAUCUGCAAAUAUAAGCUUCCCGUUGUUGAACCUAGACAAUCAUCUCUUUUUCCAAUGUCGAUAGAAGUAAAUACAUCAAGUUGAUAUGAGUCUACCUUUACUCUUCUAUAUUUAAGCCUUAUGUUAGAUCUUUCAGCUGCAUUCUCUUUUGGACAGGACUAUAUGACCAAGCUGAAAGAUAAAUCAGCUUCUGGGGCUGUAUUUUUUGCAGUUUGUCGUGGAAAGGUAUCGUUUCUCCUCAACUAAAAAAAAGCUUCUUCAGAUACAAUGCAGAUUUUAUGCCAUCUACAUGGAAUUUUAGUUUGAUUAAUUUUAUCUGUAGCAAGGGAAUUGAAAUGAAUUUUGUACCUUGGAAAAUUGAAUCAAUAAAAAAUAUCAUUGGAAGCAACUUUCUUGAUGAUCAGAAUUUCGUUGACUGAUAUAACCCUAGGUAAAAGUUUGGUCAUGAUUAAUCUGCAAGUUGAGGAAAUUAUGAAUUCUUUUUAUCUUCUAUGGCGUGGCCAAUAUGCCGGGAAGUUUAUGUGUUAGGUCAAGCUGAAUUCUGAACGAAGUCUGUUCCUCUGCAACAAAACUCACAGCAUUAUAUGCUGCAGAUUUAUAGGUCCCUUGCUGCAUUUUUAUUCACACAGGGGAAGACUGUUGCAUGAUGCUUCCCUUGUUGUUGGGUUUUGGAUCUAUUAGAUACACUACCUUGGUUCUGCGUUUUCAUUAUCACCCACUGCACAUCUUUCCUGAAGUUAUUUGAUUCCAUAUCUCAGUACUGAAGAUGCAUAGUUGUUUAAUAUUUAUUAUACAUCUAUGUGGCUAUAUUGUAGAACUUCCAUAUUAUGGUUCUUGCUCGACCACUUUAUGUUUUUUAUGUCUUAGGUCAGUGAAGGGCUGGAUUUUGCUGACCAUGCUGGAAGAGCUGUGGUCAUCACCGGCAUACCAUUUGCAACAAGGACUGAUCCUAAGGUUUGUCUAUGGCUUUUCUUCUCCUUGAAAUUCAUUUCUCUGGGCCAACUGUAGAUGGCCAAAAGAACUUUCAUUCUAAGAUCUUGUUUGCUAUUCUAUCCUUGUUUAACUCAGUGCAAGUACUCUAUUGCUGGAGUAUUGUACUUUAGCUGGCAAUCUUCUGUUUAACUUUCUGAAUUUCUGCUGUUGAAUCUUGUAGUUGCCAAUGUUAUUCGACCUGUGUCCAUAUGUUUUGAUACUGAGCUGAUUUCAACUGUUUGCUUUUUCUUCAUCUUCUUAUUGUUCCACGGAAAAGCUUUAGGACCAUAUGUCACAAUAGAAGUGAAAUUCACCACAUUUGAGGAAAUCUCAAUGGGUGGAUUGGUUAAACCUCAAAUGUAUCGGAUUAAUGGCCCAGGAAACAAAAUAAAGGAAAGAAGAGAUAGAAACUAAUGGAAAUAGAAGAGAUAAGUAUUCAGUUGAUUCUCAAUUUGUCAAUAUAUGUUGAGGAAUAAUUACAAUCUAUGAACCUCAAAUUUUGCUCUAUGCUUGUUGGCAAAAGGUGCACAUCCUGUAUAAAACAGAGACGUGGCUUGCCUGUUAAAUUCUCUUAUCAGAUCUUACCUUUGAAAUUUUGAUUGGUCAAACAUUCUUCUGCAGAUAUACGGAGUAAUUUGUAGCCUAGUUAGUAUUGUUUCAUGUUUUGCAUGCUCUCUUUCCAUCUCCCAUUCAAUUGGUUAUCUACAUAUUUGUUGGAUUAGCAAAUUUUCCUGCUAUAUGUUGAACAUAGUUAUGUUGGAUGAUAUGGUACAGGUUCGUCUAAAACGCGAGUAUUUGGAUGAGCAUGCCCAGUUGCAACAAUUAGGACAAAAGGUAGUUUGAUAAUUCAGGAGAAGUUAUAAAUUUUUCAUAAUGCAAUUACAUUACCUUUUGUUGCUUUAGAUCUUAUAAUGUAAUAUAAUGCUAAACUUAGAAUUCACAGGCUCUGACUGGAGAAGAAUGGUACAGCCAACAAGCAUCUCGGGCUGUAAAUCAGGCAGUUGGUCGUGUCAUACGUCAUCGGCAUGAUUAUGGAGCAAUUAUAUUUUGCGAUGAAAGGUUUGUAUACCACAGACCUGUUGCUUAACUUACACAAGAUUAUUAUCAUAACUUGGAGUUGAUAUGAAAUCUGUUGUAGCAUGAUUAGUAUAGAGAAGCCAAGCCAUUCAUUUGCCUAUUAGAGUGUAUAAUAUGUGGAGUAUUUAAUUUGAUUAUUUUAUUGGUCAUGUUUGAUGUUUUAUUCCAGUACUUCUUUUCUGCACUAUAAGUAGAAUUAUAAAUAUCACCUUGGAGAUGAUAGUCUGUCAGCUGAAAAUUACAUCACUGGAUCUGUUGAAGCUUGUGGAAAGUGUUACUUGUGUAAUUUGAAUAGGUUCUGGUAUGAAAUUUUGUACAUUUUUCAGUGCAAAUACCUAUAUCGAGACCCAGACAUUAAAAAAAAUGUUAAUUAAGACCCUGUAUGCUUUAUGCGUGUAGAAAUCUAAGGCAAAAUGGAGAGUCUGGCUCAAAUAUGGCAGGGCAAAAGGAAUAAUCCGAGUAACAUUGUUGAGAUUGAUGUCUAUCAUGUUACUGGCUGUUGAGAAACUUGACAGUUUCUGUUUUUCACCCCUAUGCACUUGUACAAUUGGUAAUGUUUUAAAACAUCUUAUGCUUUUGAAUUUAAUCCACGACUCAAUAUACAGGUUCUCAAAUUCAAAUCGUCAAUCCCAAAUGUCACUUUGGAUGCAGCCUCAUGUCAAAGUGUGAUUUGCUUUCUUUGCAAUCUUUCCUGUUGUUCUUUUCAGGUUUUCUUAAUUUUCCAGCUUCUUAUUUUCAAAUGAUAACAUGCUUGCGGAUGCCCUCCUUGCAGUGUUACUCUAAAUUCGGGGAUGUAGUCUUUACAUUGACUCGUUUUUUCCGCGAUGGAGGAAUUUGUGGUCCUACAAAGCUAGAAUUGACUCGAAACAGCUGUCAAGGUAGAGAUUCUUUGUGUUGUAUAUUGGAAUAUGUUUUCGUAUAAAAGCACAAGCUGUUAAAGGGUAGCAUUAUCCCCCCUUCCCCUUCCCUUUAUGUUCAGCUGGUUUUCACUGUUUUGUUUAGAAGAAACUUUUGAUAGGUGGAUUUUUCUUUCGCAGGAAAUGUGGAAAGCUCUCAGCCUCUGGACAAACUUCAUUCUGACAAGCUUCUGGUAUAUUUCAAUAAUUCAUACUUGUUUUGGGUUCAUGUCCACGUAGGACUUCAACAAUGAUUUUCUGUUUUUCUUCUUUUCUCCCUUGUUCACUAGACCACAGAUACAAGUUGCACUGUGGUUUCAGUAUCAUCUCCAAAGAAACGAGGCACAAGUCUUAGCCAUCUGACAGAAGUAGUUCCUGCUAAUCGUUCAUCUUUGACGUCACACAAGCUAAAUAUUGGCUUAAAACUUUCCAGUAAUGCAAAUCUGUUAAGCCAUUUGAGCACAAACAUGCAAUCUAGCUUUAAAGAUGCCAUUGGUUCUACCAAUUACGAUUUGUCAGGCACAAAAAGUAGUCAAUGCAUUGCACCUUGUUCUCUGAAGAAACCUAGAUUAGUAAUCACAGGACAUGAACAGACUGAAAGUUUUGAGAAGUCUGAUGAGCCUUCCUGCUCCAGAGAAAACAGUCAUGCGACAAGUUAUUCGACUGGUUUUUUGAAAAAUGAGAAAUUACAGUGGUUUAAUGAUAGAAGCAAGCAAAAUGCGCAAGAUAGCAGAAGGCUGCUUGAAAGCGAGGUGAAAGUGAAAAACAUGACUUGCACGUCUAUUGAUCCAAAAGAUAAGGAAAAGAACUCUGCCUCUACAGCGUCUAAUGAUGAAGAGAGAAAAGGAUCAGCUUUUCUGAUCCAGGUAACGUACUUGAAUCCUUUUUCUUCACUUUCUUCCCGUUCUUCCCACAGCAGUAACACCCAAGUGGAGUUCUAGAUGAAGGACCAUCAUCAUCAUCAUUCUAGCUGUUAUUUGUUUUCUUGGCCACUUAUUUAUCUACCUGGAACACUGUACCUUACAGGUCCAAGAAAAGCUUACAGACGCAGAAUACAAGGAAUUUGUCAGCUUUAUGAAGGCACUGAAGUCUAAAGCAAUGAAAAUUGGGCAUGUUUUGCAAUCCAUUGCGAGGUUAUUUUCUCUUCCAGAUAGGCUUCCUCUUUUACACGGGUAUGGUUUUCAGCAACAUUUAAAGAACAAUGACUAGCAGUUGUAGUUGUCUUUUUUUCCUUUCCUUUUUUUUAAACCCUUAUCCUUGUUCUUUAGUUUGGCUUUUUAUAAGUUGGGGACGUCAGAAGUCUGCGUAAAUGAAAUGCUUCACCUACAGCAAUCUUGUAACGUAACAAAAUGCCUUGCUAUUUGUGGAAUCUCUGUGGGAUUAUAAACCAAACUCAACAUUAAGAUUUUUUUUCUCUUAACAGUCUGAGGGCAACUACAUAUUAACUUCCAUCUGUCUUGAAUUUCUCUGCAGUUCUGCAUAUUCUGGUUAUUUACAUUACAACAGCUUCAUUUGUGGGAAUUGUUUUCUGUAGUUAUUUUAUUCAGAUAAUGACAUCACAAUAGGGAGUUUCUUGCUUCUUGUUUUGGAUGCUUCCAAUAAUUUUGACCUUUUUCUUUCUUUGGAAUUAAUGAUGAUGGCAAUGAGAACUUGCUUAUCCAUGUGUUUUUCCGGUCAGCCGUGCAGAGUAAAGUUGGUUGAAGAACUCGUAAUUCGAUUAGUUCAUAAACAAGAACAAAUGAGCAGGAUCAGUUAAUAGACGAGCUUUUGCUUUUCAUUUAACAUUUCUGUGUUUAGGUAUUUUGCAUACUACCCAAUGGAGUAUCACACGUCUCAUACGGCUUUUGCUCUAAUUGUUUACAGAUUCAAAGAUUACAUUCCCGCAAAGUACCAUUCCAUGUAUGAUCACCAUGUGCAGGCUAAUCAGAACGUUGCUGGUCUUUGAGGCGAGGGACACUUUGCUUGCAUGCCUUGGGAAGUAGAUAACUCUCUUUGCCAUGUAGUACAUACUGUCCUGUAACGUUUUACUAAAGCAAUGUAGAAAAUUUUCUGGAGAAAAUUUUGCCCCAUCACAAUCACGGAGCCCCAUCAUCAAAAACUUUGCUUGUCCCUGUAGCCUGCGGAAUGCGUGAGGUUUCUACCAUUACUUCUAGUCAGACAGAGAGGAACCACAGAAAGGGUAAAGGUCUACGUUUUUGUCAUGGAACUUGCUGUAACUGGGAAUUUCUCGUGUAAAAUUUCAAUUUAUUGGUUUACCGGUUACAAUUUAACUGUUCGUCUUAGUUUAAUUGUUUUCCUUCCACUCUACCUGUCUGAGAAAGAAGGAUCACUAAUGAAUGCAAAAACGAAAUAGAUGACGACUGAUGAGAUCGUGAGAGAGCAAGGACUCCGGUGAAGAAUUUGCUCAAAGUAUCUAACAAACCAACACAAACAUAGUACUAAUUAACAAAACACAUUUUACACAACUGACGAUGACAACGUUUUUUUCUUUAUUGAAAUCUGCGACUAACGUUUUUUUUUUUCCUCUGACGUUACGUCUCUUGUUUAAUUGGGUUCAUUAUUCUUCCUCCUCCUACCGCUAUCGGAUCGAGCACUCCUCGGCUUUGCAGGGGCUCCGCCCGAAUUUUCACGUAGGACUACGAUCAGGUCCACAAAUGCUCUGAGGAUGAACCUGUAUGAUUUCUUAUCAUUUAAGUUCAAGUAGCAAAACAAGAGCUCUUCCAUGAAUUCCCAAUCAAUUUUCCCGUUGUGAUGCAGUCUUGCGUCAACCAUUUCAUGCAUGGACUUCUUGAAAUCAUCAUGAGGGCUGACGGAAUAUUUCAAUACCGUAAUAAAGUCUUCAGGGUUUAGCACUUCGUUCACGUCUCCCUCUCCACCGUCAUCAUCGUCACUCGCCGUUGUUGUUGAAUCAUUGAUUCCGCCUUUGUUGACUGAGUUGGUGGUGGUGAUGGUGGUGGAGGUGGAGCUGGUGCCUAUAACCUGGAGCGUGCUUCUUGUCGAGCUCGUCCUAGCCUCCUCUAUCAGUGAACCCGAUGAGCUAGCCCGGGCGACGAAAAACCGAUGAGAACCACAAAGAUUAAUCUCUGGUGGAUCCUCGAACUUUGGCGAAUCUAACAGUGCUCCGCUGGGUUUUUCUUCAUUUUCGCCUUCAUGGCUUCUCUCGAUCUCUAUGCUGUCUUCUUCACCUUCUUCCUUCUUGUACAAGGACUUGAAAUUCUCCAGGAGGAAACGAUCUAUGUCAGACAGCGUUGCUGCACCGUCAGGAGCGUCUUCUUUUUCUUUGUUGUCAUCAAAGGCAAAGGACGGUGUCUUGGGGUGUCUGCAGCCACGCAAAAUCCAACUAGUAGUAGAGGAAGAAAGAGAACUUGAUGUGGAUGGAGACUGAACUUGUGGGGCGGGUUUCUUCUUCUUUGAGAGGUAUUCUUGGAGAGAUUUUUGAAGUUGGUUCGGCAUUCUCUACCUGUUUCCUUUGCGUCCAGUUCUUGUAACCUGCCAGGCUAUUCGGUAAAAUGAACAUACGGAAGAGGAUGUGGCUUUAUACUUGUACUUGGACGAGGCAAACCAAACUCGGGAUGUAACGCACGGCUUCAAAGUUAAAAGAUUGAGGUUUAAAGGAUUUGUUCUGCUACGUAACUACAGCAUUAAUACGGACACUUCAAUUGAACAAGGGAAUUUACUGCAACUCGGUAUUUGCAUGGGGAUUAAGUAUGGAUUUAAGUAAUUUUUAAUUUGAAUUUCAAAUUUUACACGUACACUCGUUCAAAUUCAUUAGUGUUAGCAUCUAAACUGUCAAUUGCAAAAAAAUUAAUCUGUAAAGUAUUGGAUCUCUGUUUGUAAGCAUUUAUUUUUACUUUGUUUGUUUGUUCGUCACGUAUUCUAUUACAGUUACACGUCAAUUCAAAGAAAAUCUAUUAAUUAAGCGGAUGGAUGAAUUGGGUGAUAUCUCCCGUUAUAAGCGUCAUUUUUUCGAAUUUAAAAUCUACCACUUACACUAAAAAAAAAAAAAGGCAAAAAUGAAAGUCUGCCAACCAAGACCAUGAAAAGAAUUGUGUUGCUGCGUUUGUGAAAGAUGCGUGCGUGCAUAUAUUGGUCUACUUCACCAUUUUCUUUUCUGUUUUUUUAAUAAGUUGAGUAGGCUCUUGCCACUGCCCCAAAAAAAAGAAAAGAAAAGGAGCUUAUGUUUCAAAAGCUUGGCCAUUAUUUGACUAAUAACUCUAUAAAAAAAAAAUAUCAUGUGAAAAAGAGUGCAAAGUGCACCACGGUAGAAACGGUGUCGUGGUGGAAGAAUGACGAGAAAUGCAUGGUGUCAAAGAAAUGUUGACCGUUGACAAUUACAACUUCCUCCGCUUUUGUUCCGUGAACCUGAAGGCUGAAAGGGCCAUAGAAUAGAGCCGGUGCAGUGAUCCACAAAAACAGAGAUGGAGAAGGAAGAAAGGAGGAGGAGGAUAGUGGAGAGGGGGUCUCAGAGACUCGCACUUAUCACUGGUAGCAUUCAAAACCUGGAAUCGCUGCCCUUAUCUCCAUCUCCCAAGCCCCAUCAUGACACUUCGCAUAGAAGAAUUCAUUCAGCCCCAGCAGUUGCUGCCCAUGCCAGUAAUGGCCUCUCCAUUUCUCAGGAUCAAGGACAUUAUCCAUCUCCAAAGCAAUCCCAUUUGAGUGGUACAUUCUCAUUCUCAUUUUCUUGUCAUAUAGUUUCCCUUAGAAAAUUUUCAGCCACAUCAUGUUGUCCGAAUUUCAUGUCACUUACGAAUAUCGCAAGAGACAUAAACAUCCUUAGUUAGUGCUAUAUCUGUGCCUGUAAAAUCAGAAAAUCUUCUUGUCCUUCCCCGAAUCAUAUUCAUCCACACAGACCAUUAGACAUCCUAUCACCAAUUACUUAGUAAUGUGAUAUCGAGAGUAAAUGCUGGCUCGAGUGGCAAAAUAUUAUUAAGGUUCCUGGCUUUGCAGCAUUCCACUCCCUUUCCUCUUGGGAUAUUAGAACUACAUACUUAAAAACAGUAUUGAAGCAAAUAAAUAUUGUGAUUCAGAAUUGAAGAUGGCAAUGAGACAUUUUUACUUGAAACCUUCCUUUUAAUUGUUGUGUUUUUUGCCUGACGGCUUAAUUUGUUAUUUGUGGCACGAAUGAACGUGCAAUAUGGGUGCUGAAAGAAUUGGUUGCAACAUUAAGAAACGAAAUUCUAUAAUGUGCUGUCAUUCAAAAACCCUUCUCAUCUCAUGAAUGCCCAUCCUAGUUAGCCAUAAGCAUCAGCUUUGAAUCAUUGAUCAGGUAUAUUCUUGUUUGUAUUGCCUCUGAAUCGAAUGGCCAAUACUGCAAUGACUGUCGCUGUAUUUGCAGUUCACACAUUAGUUAUAUGGAAUGUCAGCCUUAAUUAUAAACUUCUAAUCCCACAACUACUUGAUAGAAUUGAUAUCGUCUUUCGAAUUAUUUACCUUGCAAAAAGUUAGCUGUAUUUUGUUCACAAAGACUAGUUAUAUCGUCUGAAAGGCAAACAUUCAACUCAUCCACGCGCGGCUGCUUAGCAGUCAUCUUCUAAAAGUUAAUUUGUUUUUUAGGUGAAGCUGAUUCACUUGGUUUACCAUUGAAACACAACCUGAGUUAUGGAGUUAGUAAAGAUGAUGGACUUCAGAACAGAACGAAAGCAUUCAACCAUCAGAAUGAUCACGCAAAUACAGAAGAAAUGCAAGACUCAGAAGCCACAUUUAGAAAUGAAGCAGAACUCUCAGCUGUUAAUACAAGAGUGACUAAAGCAUCAGAUGAUCACGCAAAGAUGUUCAUGAAAGAGUCAAGGGGUGGAACUCUUCUUAAUUUUUUCACUCCCAAAGAAAUAAAUUCCAGCAUCAUAUCUUCAGAGGAUACGCGAGUAUUCUGUUCCAUCAUGAUAGCUCUGCUUGUAGUCAUCGCUUAUGCUAAUCUUCCUCACCACAUUGUAAAAUCAAAGAGCCUGAUCGCCUCAAGACCUCUUUACGUGCUUCUGUUAACUGAUGUGAUGAUAGUGAUUCUACGAAUAUCCUCCGCAAAGCAGAGAGGCUCUGGAGAAAUGGACGUGCAAAAGAAAGCAGCAAAAAUUUUGGAAAGUGAUAGACAUAAUAUCCACUGGGAUGAAGCCAUUAAGGUCCUGGAAUGGGGUCUGGUGCUGUAUCAAACUGUCCGUGCUAUUUUCAUAGACUGCAGUUUCUACAUAGUCAUUGUCAUUUGUGGCUUUUCUUUCAUGUAGCUAGCUCGAAGCAACUCUAUAUGAUGGCCGCUGUGCUUAGCUCUAUUAUCAAUUUUCUCAUAUCCCGAAAGUUAGACAGAAUUUGUGAAUCUGCUUCAGUUGAACCUCAUCAGUUUCUGUACGAAGCAGUUAGUCUGCCUUACUUUCACGGUAACUUUUUGUGCAUGCCCUGCGGAGCCUACAUUACAAUAGCCCCUCAUUCAGGUGAGCCAGCCACUAAGUGGAUUCUGGAAUAGGUUCAGUAGGGGAGAGAUUUCUUGCACCUCUGAUGUCCAACGUACGGUCGUUGAGAUCAAAAUGCAUGCAUUAUUUGUGCAUCUAACGUUCGAGAGAGGGGAGUCAAGAUGCAAGAUCCUUCACUGAAUGCCAUAAUUGUGGUAGGUACGAAGUCUUUUAUUUAUUUUUUUUCUUUUCUUUCUAAAUCAUGGUUUAGAAAUCAGAUUCAUGGCCGUGAGUUUGCCUGCCUUGAUAAGCUGCAGCUCUUAAAUUGGAAAAGGGCGUUAAGUAUAGUUGUUGAGUACUCGUUUUCUAUUGAAUGUAUUCUGGGACCAACUUGGAAGAAUAGGCAGAAGGGUUUCCCUCUCUGAAAACAAAAGGUGUGCCCCAGCAAUUUCAUUUUGUGAUAUUGGUGGUCACGCUCGAUUGCUACAUUUUUCCUCUUCUUGUUGGUUUACAAACCAAAGAAAUUUUUUUUUUCCAAAAAAAAAAAAAAAGAAAGCAAGAAAGACAGGUAACUGUUAAAUCAUCAUUUGUAUGUCAAGUUAUAAUCUAAAAUCUCUUCAAAGGGUGAUAUUAUUAUGAUUUUCUACAGUUUUGUGAAAAAGUGGCUAUGUGUAGCUUCUAAUCUGAAAUACGAUAAGAAAGUUAAUUAGAUGAGUAGUAAUGCUUGACUGCCCUAAUUAAGCUAAGCAGUAACAGGUAGCUAUUUGUUUAUCUAUCAUAUCUGAAUCCUGAUUACCAAGAACAUGGUCCAUAAUAGUAGUGCUUAGCUAUUACAGAUGCAAUUAUAGUUUUUUGUUUUUUACCCCCAAAUAAAGAAAUUUCAAGAUUACGCGAAUCAGAUAUAGUAGAAAACAUGCCCCCAAAUUAUAUUAAAAAAAAAAAAAAAAAAAAGAGUUCGGCCUGCCUCCGUCCAAGAACCAUUAUUAGAAGGAAGGAGGAAAAUCACUCCCCUACCCUGUGCACAGGACAGAUAGUGCCAAGCCCAUAGGGGACACAAAUUAGAAAACAGGGAUCAGCUGAAUUUUCUCGAUCCCUUGCUGCCGGUGUCUUUGACUUCACCACCACAUUGAUUUAACGAGUUACUAGGAGUAGGAUGUUCAUCUUGCGUAGGAGUGACCAGGAGCAGUAACUUUCGACUUAUCCAAUCUCCAAAUGCUUUGAGAAAAAGUGCUUUGAAUUUCAACCCCUUUCUCUGGAUCGGCUGUGUGUAGUGUAUGAAGCUUUAAAGAUUAAUAAUGGAUGGCUGGUUGACAAACAGGGAAAAAUAAUUGUAGCAAAACAAUUUCAGGCCCGACUCCCCAACUCCCAAAGCAAUCAAUCAAGUAGAUGCUGAUUAUUUGGACCAAUUUCUGACCGAGAUGUUAAAUAAAUUCAUUUUAUUGUGAGUCAAAAGCAUCACCGGAAUUCAUUCAUUCCAUCUUGUCUUUGCUUCCCACCUCCUUGAUUUAUAAAUUAUAAUGCGACCUACCCCAUAAACAAGUACUGUAAUAAUGCUAGUAAUAAAUUGCUUCGCUCAAAUGUUCAAUACUACUACUAUGAGCACAGAAACAUGGGCAAAAGUCUCUGUUUGAAUUACCUAACAAUUGCUUGGUAUGAUGUUAAACAAAUAUUUAUGGGAGUUUCAGUGAAAACUAACUACUGGAUCAUGCAUGCAGCUUCCUUUUGCUGCCAUUAACAGGCGGCUCGAACUUCAAUCUCCAAAAGUCAACACAACGAGAGGGUGGAGGGUGGAGUGUGGGCUUUAAAGAGAAGAGAUAACAUGGAAAGGCAUCUUCAUCUUCAUCACACCUAUCAAGAAUUAAUUAAUACAGGAGCAAACCAUGAAGAACGCGACAGCAUCACAUAUCAAAUGCUAGUCCCUCCUCGUGAUGAGUGGGGCUUGCACUGCACAUCAAGUAGAAAUGCUAUUAAUUUAUGCAGCAAGCAAGGAUUGACCUUGCACUGCACUUCGUUCACACUUUCAUUCACUUGCAUAUUGAUGGCUAAUUUUGCCCUUUGACAUUACAUUGAAGUCAUUAUUUAAGACUCGAUUUCAAUGCAUAUUAAUUUUACACGCACUUGUGAAUGGAGAAAAUUCUGAUAAUUCAAGCAUGUUUAACGCGUAUUAGUGAACGUAUUUGUAAUAACAUGAAUCUGUAACGAACAUAUAUAUAUAUAUAUAAAAGAAAUUUCAGUACUUAAAAAAGCUUAAUCCAUCAAUUAAUUAAUUGCACAAGUCACUUUCUAGCCAUAGAUCCUCUGCAUCGUUAUUAUUCCAUAAUCCCAUGUUAGAGAGCGCCACGGGAACAGGAGUGGGUAGAAGAAGAAGAUAUUCAGAGAACUGUAGGAAGAAAGAAUGCCUUGAUUCAAGAUUGUCAACCUCAAAUGAACAUCAUUCCAACUAAACAUGGAGUCCAGUGAUAGAACAUCAUCAAGGACUCCUUCACUCCCUUCAAAUUUUCAAACAUCUAAUACAUCUUUGUCAUCAAAGAUCCUUGAAGGAACGGCAAACCGAGCAGAAAAUGAUCUGGAGAUGUCAUCAGGAUCAGCCCAAGUCAACCCCUGGUCGAAGUUUUGAGAAUAAGUGUGCGGAUCAUAAGCAAACCUCGUUGAAGUCGAACGGUAGAACGUUCUUUUCUUCUCCUUCUUCAUCUUCGUCCACAACUGUCUCCAAAUUGGUGCUUUUGAUCCGCUGCUUGGUCUUAUUAUAUGGGACACAAAUCGACCAUAAUUUCUGCUGGAAAAACUUCUGCUCCAACAGCAGCAGCAGCACACUUCACCAUUGCCCGAGCUGCACCGUGCUCCCAUGUCCAUGACCAAUGUGAAUUAAUGGUCUCCUCUCUGGACCUCUGGGAUUUAUGGUUGGUUUGCCUAGGCACGGAGCGUAAAUGCAAGGAAGGGGACUAUAUAUAAUUGACCAAAUGGUGCAUCAAUCUGAUCCUUUUCGGUCGACAUCCCCCUAAU